AAUCAACACUGAACAGCACACCCAUGCUGCUCAGGCCCAACCAAACCUGAACAACCAACCCCGGUCAUACAGAUCAAACCUCCAAACCAGGAAUUAUCCAUUCCAAACCAGGAGUCAAAUUAAUUAUCACAUUAUUAAUAUUGAUGAGUAGUGUGAGACUAAUCACGAAAAACAUUGCUCAACUCGCCCAUAACCGCGGGCACGGCUAUUCGAAUAGUUUUACUCUGGCCAGAGGUGUACCACUGUACCCACAAGACACGAUUCCACACAUGUUGCCAUGCCCCGAAAUACCACCACGGCAUUGCAAAGGGGGAAAUCGUGACAAUACCCUUUGCACAACACAACUCAAAACAGUGCACCGUACCUGGAUCAUAAUCACCCCCUUAUAAACAAGGCAUGGACUCCCCAGCGAUCCCCAUGGAUGUCACGUCCUGAUAAAUUCAUCCCGAAAAUAAAAAUCAUUCUCUAAAAGGAAUAAUAGAAUUAAUUAAAAUUCGAAAAGAAAUUGGCAAACACUAAAAUACGUGCAAGAAAAAUUCAAAUGUGGCCCGGAGAAUUUUUGUUAAAUUCUCCUUGGUCUAAAAAUAAGCCCUCAAAUUUUACUUGAAUUUUCAGAGCACCGGAAAUAUUUAUUAAACAACAACAUUUAUCAAAGUUCAAUAAAAAGAAAACCUAAAAAUCCCUCCUCUUCCUCCUUUGGGCCAAGCCCAGCCCGAAGUCCUUCCCUCCUCCCUCUCUUUCUCUCCCUCUCCUUCUCUCCCUCCUCUUGGGCCUCCUCCCCUCUCGGCCCAGCUCCCUUUCCCCCCUCUCUCUCCCGGGCUGCCUCUUUCCCCCCCCCCUCCUUCCCGGCCUGCCUCGGCCCAGCCGCCCGGCCCAAGCCGCCUCCCCCUUCCCCCCCCCUCCUGGGCCGGCCGCCCGGCCCAACCCGAGCGGCGCCCUCCCGCCCGAGCGCGCACGUGCGCGCGCUGACCGCGCGCCCCGCGUGGGGCCCACGCGUCAGGCCGCCGUCGCCUUCUUCCUCCAGCCGCCGCCCGGCUUCCCUCUCCCCGUGCGAACCCUAGCUCACUCCCUCCUCCAAAUCCGCUUGAUUCGCUUGGUUAAUUCCAAAAUUAAAUAGGGGAAAUUAAUCCCCAUUGACUCCUCUUCAUUUCCCCCUAAUUUCCCCUUUGAAUGCCGCCCCCAAUCGCCGGGAACGGCCGCGCCAAGUCCGGCCGCCUUCCAUUGCCGCCGGCCGGCUUUUCCGCCGCCGUUCCGACCUCCCCCGUGGCCGGCUCCCUCUUCUCUCAUAUAAAAUAGAACCCCCUCUUUACGUUCUACCGUUUUAGCCUCUUCCCGAGCUCUCCCGUGGUCUCUAGCCACCUCCCCACCGUCGCCCUCUCUCUCCCACGUUGCCGGCCGGCCUCCAGCCGCCUCUCCCGCCUCGCCGGAGCGUCGUCCGGCCGCGCCGUCGCCUCCUCCAGCGUCGCCGCCACCUCCUCCACCCCGGCUUGCCCUCCGUUUCGCGAGGUGACCCCCGGAGCUGCCUCCCCGCCGUCGCCCUUCUCGUUUCUCCGCGCCGGCCGCCUCCAGUCGCCUCUCCCGCCUCGCCCGUGCGCCGUCCGGUCACGCCGUCUUCUCCCUCGGCCUCGCAGCCACCUCCUCUCCCUCGGUCAGCCCUCUGUUUCGCGGGGAAAACACCGGAGACGCGUCCUCGCCGGCGUCCAGUGGCGUCGCCACCACUUCUCCGCCUCCGGCCGCCUCUGCCGCGUCCCCGGUGCGCCGGCCGACGUCGCCACCACCUCUCCCGGCACCGGAGUGCCGUCCUCUCUCCCGGCCAGGCCACGGCGUCGCCCGAAUUUCGCCGGAACGCCGUCAUCUCCGCGCCGGCCUCUCCUUCCUCCUCGUCGGCUCGUCGCCCCGCUGCACCACCACCUUCACCAACAUCGCAGCGGCGUGUUCCACGCCAUCCCCUCCUCCGCUCAGCCGCUGCUGCCUGCCAUCAUCGUCAUCGUCGUCUCCGUUCGUCCUCGCCGAUCGACGUCCCAUCGGUUGCCCGGCUCGUCGUCUCGCGGCGCCGCCUCCGUCAUCGUCAUCGUAGCGGCGUGUUCCACGUCGUCCUCGUCCCCGUGCAGCUGCUGCUGGCUGCCCCUCGUCGCCCCCUCGCCGGUCCCGGUCGUCGUCGUCGUCGUCGUCCUCUCGUCGUUCCCGGUCGUCGUGGCGUUCGUCCCUCCGUCGAGCCGUUCUCGUCCGUCGUCCGCGUUCGUCAAGCGAGCCGCUGCAGCCCCGUCCUCGUCUCCGUCCUCGGCUCCGCGUCGUCAAGCCUCGUGCCGGCCGCGUCUCGCCUUUGUCCAAGGAUCGCCGCCGAAGUCGUUCCCUCGCCGUUCGCCUCCGUCGUCCCCGAGCUGUCCUCGCCGGUCCCGUUCGUCGUUGUCGUUCCCACGCCUCGUCGCGUGGUGGUAAGGAUCCGUCCUCUCGCUUCCCCGCCCUCGUCCUUCCGGUGUCGCCCCGUACCCGUUGUGCGGUCGUCGACCCCGGUACCCGUGUACCGGUGUCGGUAGUCGUUCACGUGUGCGGGUGGCGACCGUGUAGUGUCCGUGUUAGUGUGCCCGCUCGGUAGCCGCGUGGUUUCCACGUGUGCAACCCGUGUGGUGUCUAGUGGAGUCCGUUUGUCGGCCACUCGCCUCGGUUGACACACGGGGUCCGCUUCCGUCGACCCGUGGACCGUCUCUGUGUACCCGGUCUACCGUGGUCCUUUAGGUUGACAUGUGGGGUCCGCAUGUCAACGGCGCAGCCUUCCUGUCUUUUCCAGGCUAGCGCUUACACAUGUUUUAUAAUUGCAAAGCUUAAUUAUAAUAAUUCGCAAAUCUCCAUAUAACAGCAUUAAACUUCGGAUGAUCAUAUCCUGGUCAUACGAGCUCCGAAUCGACCCGUUCAAGUCUCUUAAUGUUUGUUAUAACCUAAAGAACCCUGUGCUUUGUUUUUAUGUAUUGUUAUUGCUUCUUUAUAGGCUUGUAGCUUUGUUUGUGUGCUUCGCGUAGCUUCUGUCGUUCCGGAGGUUCCCGAAGCGUGGUUCGUGGUCGUCGCCGAAGGUUCGGAAGGCCGUUCUCUCUGAGCAAGGCAAGUCACAUCAUCCUUGAACAUAUUGAAUCCCAGUUUGUAAAAUUAUGUUGAUUUAAAUUAUUGCAUUACCGCUUUAUUUAAAUUCCCGCGUUAUCACUGUUUUAUCUAGCCAUGCCUAUUUACCUUUGUUAUGACCUUAUUAUUGCUAUUGUUAUUAUUACCUUGUUCACCCUAGAGUAAACAAAACCUCAACUAGUGGACACUCUACUCGUGGUAUCCCUAGUUUAAAUUUAGGUAGAUGCUUCGCAAUUUAAUAGGACAACAUUAGUUAGAUUUUAUAACUUUAGACUUUGGGAAUUUCUCAUAUCAUUUGGACACUAUGGAAUUGUUGGAUUAUGGUGGAAUUGGACAUACACCUCUCUUCCUCUUUCAAAACCCCUAAAGCCUGUUUUCGGUGGGGUUUGGGUGCAUGCCAGUUAUGGGAAGUAGCACCCCGGCCACUAUAAGGAUUAAGCUCGGGCCUCUGUUGCAAAGCACUACCGUACUAACCACAUGUCUAAUGGGUAAGGCUUAACUCGGUGCUCAGUCUAGUCCUGAACAAAAGGACACGGAUUGGAGAUGGAUGAAGUCGGGUGUCGAUGGACAUUCUCCAGGGCAAAUGAAGGCUACACGAGCUGCGGCCCGGUAGUCGAGAUGUCGUAUGGCAGAGGGUUGGUGCCCUGCUGCUAGGGGCUCAGUUCUGCCUGCCUGUCCCGGGUAUCCCGGCCGUAGGUGGGAUUGGGUCGGUACUUUUGUUCACGGCUAGGAUGGGUGAAGGGUUAUGUCACAUCUUUACGACGGGUUCCAAGGCCAUGGAAUGCGGAGUAAAGAUGUGUCUUGUGGGUAAAGAUGUACACCUCUGAUCAGAGUAAAUCUAUUCGAAUAGCCGAGCCCUCGGAUAUGGGCAAGCCUAGCAAUGUACCCAAGUCAGUGUUUUAAUUCUUAAAAUUUGCUCAACAACUAAAAUAUGGAAUGGUUGGCCUGGGUUGGCUUGGGACGAGCUGGGACCCAGGGUCGGGUUGCCAGUUCGGUCCGAAUCAUCGUAGGCCUUGGGUUAAGGCAGGUUCGUGAGGGUUCACGGCCUUGAUUAAUAAUACUGUGUAGCUCUAGGAUCGUCUUUACAAAAUGGCUUUGGGCAACUAAGUGGCUUUUAAAUGCUGUUUACUGCAAAACUUAACCUCUAUGUUAUUAUCCCCUUGUACUCCUUUGCAUUAAUUGUGCAUCCCCGGUGUGGCUUGCUGAGUACUGUGGUUGUACUCAUUCUUGCUCAAUCUUUCCCCUCUUCAGUAAGAGAAGCUUUGGAGAAGAAGUCUUAGGUGGAGUCCUGGCUUAUACCCCAGUUGAGCGCCUGUGAAGAUGGAGCCGUAGGCCCGCUAGUCCGCUGCUGUUUAUUUUUGAUUGUCAGGCCUUAAGUGCCUUUGUAAUAAUGUAAAUAUUAUCGAUAUAAUAAAGAUGUGUCUUUUAUAUCAUGUUUGUGUGGUGUACCCCGGCUUUUCCUGGGACGGGGAUUAAUACACUAGCGUUCGGGAAAAGGCAAUUUUCCCGGUCGCGACAAGCUGGUAUCAGAGCCAUCUCGACUGUAGGAUAAGCCAAGUGGAUAAAACCUAAGGACAUAUGUUAUAAAUAAAACUAUUUGCGAAAGUUCCUUUUUUUCCUCCCCCUAAUGCUAUUUGCAAAAGGUUUACUCCCUUCUUCCUUCUUCGGAUUUCAACUAGUACUAGAUGGUCAGUUUUGCGAAGAAGAAGAUGUCGUCAGUUGUUUGCCGAAGCUCCGGAAGACUGCAGGAUCCGCUAGCAAAGUGUAGGAAGCAGUGAAGCCAGCCGUGAAGCUGAAGCUAAGAUCUUGGAGAACCAGUCGCAGAACCUAAGCCGCCCUAUAGGGUAGUGUUGUUAGUCGUGUGUUUCUUGCUUGUGUGUGUAGCGCGUGGUUUGCAUCGGUGGGAGGUGAUGUAACCAUGCUAGGUUGUUUGCUUAAUCAACCUGCAGAAUAAGCGAAACAAACAACACAUCAACAAAAAGAGUUAGUUCCUUUAAGGUCUUGUCCCUAGUUCUGGUCUAUUCUUUCCUUGUAUGCUUCCCCUCUCAACCUCUACCUUGUGACAGAUGGAUAACAUUGGUAACAAAGGCUACGGGAAUGAUGGAUCCGAUGACUCAAGAACCCAAGCCAAUGGGAAUGAGAAAAGCAUCAACGAAACCUCACCAGAGCUAAUCCAAAUUGUGGUUAACCAAACCGACAUGUUGGCAACAGCCUUUCAACUAUUACAGAAUCGGAACAAUCCAGCAGGGGCAACCAACGUUCAAGUACCUACAGUCCAGCAACAGUGCAAGUUAUCAGAAUUUCUCAAAACGGGGCCUCCAACCUUUGCCAUGGCCGUCGAUCCUAUGGAAGCCAGUGAUUGGUUGCGCACAGUCGAGAAGAAGCUAGGGUUGAUUCAGUGCACCGACCAGGAGCGGGUUGGCUUCGCAACUCAUCAGUUGGUUGGACCGGCUUCAGAGUGGUGGGAUAGCUACGAAGCAUCACGGCCAGAAGGACAUACCAUCACCUGGAACGAGUUUUCAUCUGUAUUCAAGAGAUCACAUGUUCCCGCAGGAAUGAUCACACUAAGAAAACGAGAGUUUCGCUACCUGAAGCAAGGAGAUUUGACCGUCACAGAGUACCUGCAUGAGUUCUAUCGUUUGGCUCACUAUGCACCAGAAGAUGUGGAAACGGAUGAAGACAAACAAGAGAAGUUUCUCCAGGGGUUAAAAGAUGAGCUUGCAGUGCAACUACUUCUAGAGGAUUAUGAAGAUUUUGAGAAACUUGUGGACAAAGCCAUGCAACUCGAAAGUGAGCAUAAUCGGAUGACGAACUGCAAGAGAAGGAUUGUCAACAUCCCAGUAUUUCCAGGUGGUAACCAAAGACAGCGCACUGAGCCACUUCAGAUCACCGGAUCUCCUGUUGUGCAUCAAGAGUUCCUACCCCAAGAAGAUGAAUGCAAUGCAGACAACAACACUAGCAAUACUAAUAAUGAUGAUACCACCAACAACCAUGGUUCUUGCCCCAUUAGUGACCACUCGAAUAAAGCGUGCAAUGUCAGUAGCAUUCACCAAGAUGUCAACGAUAGUAUCAAUGUUGGAACCCAGAAUGACAACCUUAGCAAUUUCGACACUGAGAAAGACUCCAAUGGUGAUAGCAACUAUGGUACCACUGAUGCCAAUGUUAGCAAGGAUUUCCAACCACCAAUUCCAACUCCAAGUCACAAUGAUCAUCCCCAGAUGGACAGCUCAGCAAAGAAGACGUUGAUUUGUUACAACUGCAAAGAACCAGGUCAUUUCUCUAGAGAUUGUCCACAGCCGAAGCGUAACCUGCGCCAUCACUCCGGCCAUUAUGCAAGAAGAAGACAGGUCACUCGCCUUGUGGUCACUGGAGCAAACGCCGUACCUGUGAGGCCUCAUGUUAAUUCUAACCCAUAGUGGAAACAAUGUACCGAUGUUAAGCACCUUCCCUUUUUGUUUAAGACAGUGCCUUGUAUUCAUGUAAUAAGGGAGACAUGUGUAAUAAAAACAAGUUCUAUGAGGAUUAUUUCGGAAGAGUACUUGGUUGACAACGUUCGAAAGGUGAUUGAUAAGAGAAAUCUAAAAAGAAUACGUCAGGGUUGAAUGUGUAAAGGAAUACUUUGAAUGCUAAAUAAUAACGACAUGAAGAGAAUAGUGGAAAGUGAAUCCGAGUUGCUUGUUCGUGAGAGCUAUUCCCAGUUAUGAACCAAGUGAUAUGUUCGAAGAUAGUCUACAGAGGUCAGACAACGAAGCUUCAGAUUUGGCAGGAUAACGAUCAAACAAUAAGAAGCCCAGCAGUAAAGCUAUUUAGGAAGACGUCAAAGCAUGUCAAGUGGGAUAAUUUGGUUCCCCUGGGAAACAUAAUUCAAAGGCAAAGUUAUCGACCCUUGCAUCGAAUAGCAGAAGUAGCCUGCACCCGGAGACCAGGAAGGCUAAUAUGAGGCAGUUGGUGGCAAGUUAGAAGUAAAUGACAAGCCAGUCGAAGUCAGCUAAAGGUUCAACCAAGGACAAGUCAGGUGAAGAGAAGACUCCAUCUGCAACAGGAGAUCGAGCCAAGCAGUCCAGAGUGGAGAAGUUGUGCUAGGCAAGUUUGUUAUAGAAGACGGAGCGGAAGAAGUCAGACAAGAAGAGAAGACCGCCCAACCUAUCUUCUUGCUAGCCUCCUCGAAUCUCGGGGACGAGAUUCCUGUAAGGGGGGUGGAUUUGUCACGUCCUGAUAAAUUCAUCCCGAAAAUAAAAAUCAUUCUCUAAAAGGAAUAAUAGAAUUAAUUAAAAUUCGAAAAGAAAUUGGCAAACACUAAAAUACGUGCAAGAAAAAUUCAAAUGUGGCCCGGAGAAUUUUUGUUAAAUUCUCCUUGGUCUAAAAAUAAGCCCUCAAAUUUUACUUGAAUUUUCAGAGCACCGGAAAUAUUUAUUAAACAACAACAUUUAUCAAAGUUCAAUAAAAAGAAAACCUAAAAAUCCCUCCUCUUCCUCCUUUGGGCCAAGCCCAGCCCGAAGUCCUUCCCUCCUCCCUCUCUUUCUCUCCCUCUCCUUCUCUCCCUCCUCUUGGGCCUCCUCCCCUCUCGGCCCAGCUCCCUUUCCCCCCUCUCUCUCCCGGGCUGCCUCUUUCCCCCCCCCUCCUUCCCGGCCUGCCUCGGCCCAGCCGCCCGGCCCAAGCCGCCUCCCCCUUCCCCCCCCCUCCUGGGCCGGCCGCCCGGCCCAACCCGAGCGGCGCCCUCCCGCCCGAGCGCGCACGUGCGCGCGCUGACCGCGCGCCCCGCGUGGGGCCCACGCGUCAGGCCGCCGUCGCCUUCUUCCUCCAGCCGCCGCCCGGCUUCCCUCUCCCCGUGCGAACCCUAGCUCACUCCCUCCUCCAAAUCCGCUUGAUUCGCUUGGUUAAUUCCAAAAUUAAAUAGGGGAAAUUAAUCCCCAUUGACUCCUCUUCAUUUCCCCCUAAUUUCCCCUUUGAAUGCCGCCCCCAAUCGCCGGGAACGGCCGCGCCAAGUCCGGCCGCCUUCCAUUGCCGCCGGCCGGCUUUUCCGCCGCCGUUCCGACCUCCCCCGUGGCCGGCUCCCUCUUCUCUCAUAUAAAAUAGAACCCCCUCUUUACGUUCUACCGUUUUAGCCUCUUCCCGAGCUCUCCCGUGGUCUCUAGCCACCUCCCCACCGUCGCCCUCUCUCUCCCACGUUGCCGGCCGGCCUCCAGCCGCCUCUCCCGCCUCGCCGGAGCGUCGUCCGGCCGCGCCGUCGCCUCCUCCAGCGUCGCCGCCACCUCCUCCACCCCGGCUUGCCCUCCGUUUCGCGAGGUGACCCCCGGAGCUGCCUCCCCGCCGUCGCCCUUCUCGUUUCUCCGCGCCGGCCGCCUCCAGUCGCCUCUCCCGCCUCGCCCGUGCGCCGUCCGGUCACGCCGUCUUCUCCCUCGGCCUCGCAGCCACCUCCUCUCCCUCGGUCAGCCCUCUGUUUCGCGGGGAAAACACCGGAGACGCGUCCUCGCCGGCGUCCAGUGGCGUCGCCACCACUUCUCCGCCUCCGGCCGCCUCUGCCGCGUCCCCGGUGCGCCGGCCGACGUCGCCACCACCUCUCCCGGCACCGGAGUGCCGUCCUCUCUCCCGGCCAGGCCACGGCGUCGCCCGAAUUUCGCCGGAACGCCGUCAUCUCCGCGCCGGCCUCUCCUUCCUCCUCGUCGGCUCGUCGCCCCGCUGCACCACCACCUUCACCAACAUCGCAGCGGCGUGUUCCACGCCAUCCCCUCCUCCGCUCAGCCGCUGCUGCCUGCCAUCAUCGUCAUCGUCGUCUCCGUUCGUCCUCGCCGAUCGACGUCCCAUCGGUUGCCCGGCUCGUCGUCUCGCGGCGCCGCCUCCGUCAUCGUCAUCGUAGCGGCGUGUUCCACGUCGUCCUCGUCCCCGUGCAGCUGCUGCUGGCUGCCCCUCGUCGCCCCCUCGCCGGUCCCGGUCGUCGUCGUCGUCGUCGUCCUCUCGUCGUUCCCGGUCGUCGUGGCGUUCGUCCCUCCGUCGAGCCGUUCUCGUCCGUCGUCCGCGUUCGUCAAGCGAGCCGCUGCAGCCCCGUCCUCGUCUCCGUCCUCGGCUCCGCGUCGUCAAGCCUCGUGCCGGCCGCGUCUCGCCUUUGUCCAAGGAUCGCCGCCGAAGUCGUUCCCUCGCCGUUCGCCUCCGUCGUCCCCGAGCUGUCCUCGCCGGUCCCGUUCGUCGUUGUCGUUCCCACGCCUCGUCGCGUGGUGGUAAGGAUCCGUCCUCUCGCUUCCCCGCCCUCGUCCUUCCGGUGUCGCCCCGUACCCGUUGUGCGGUCGUCGACCCCGGUACCCGUGUACCGGUGUCGGUAGUCGUUCACGUGUGCGGGUGGCGACCGUGUAGUGUCCGUGUUAGUGUGCCCGCUCGGUAGCCGCGUGGUUUCCACGUGUGCAACCCGUGUGGUGUCUAGUGGAGUCCGUUUGUCGGCCACUCGCCUCGGUUGACACACGGGGUCCGCUUCCGUCGACCCGUGGACCGUCUCUGUGUACCCGGUCUACCGUGGUCCUUUAGGUUGACAUGUGGGGUCCGCAUGUCAACGGCGCAGCCUUCCUGUCUUUUCCAGGCUAGCGCUUACACAUGUUUUAUAAUUGCAAAGCUUAAUUAUAAUAAUUCGCAAAUCUCCAUAUAACAGCAUUAAACUUCGGAUGAUCAUAUCCUGGUCAUACGAGCUCCGAAUCGACCCGUUCAAGUCUCUUAAUGUUUGUUAUAACCUAAAGAACCCUGUGCUUUGUUUUUAUGUAUUGUUAUUGCUUCUUUAUAGGCUUGUAGCUUUGUUUGUGUGCUUCGCGUAGCUUCUGUCGUUCCGGAGGUUCCCGAAGCGUGGUUCGUGGUCGUCGCCGAAGGUUCGGAAGGCCGUUCUCUCUGAGCAAGGCAAGUCACAUCAUCCUUGAACAUAUUGAAUCCCAGUUUGUAAAAUUAUGUUGAUUUAAAUUAUUGCAUUACCGCUUUAUUUAAAUUCCCGCGUUAUCACUGUUUUAUCUAGCCAUGCCUAUUUACCUUUGUUAUGACCUUAUUAUUGCUAUUGUUAUUAUUACCUUGUUCACCCUAGAGUAAACAAAACCUCAACUAGUGGACACUCUACUCGUGGUAUCCCUAGUUUAAAUUUAGGUAGAUGCUUCGCAAUUUAAUAGGACAACAUUAGUUAGAUUUUAUAACUUUAGACUUUGGGAAUUUCUCAUAUCAUUUGGACACUAUGGAAUUGUUGGAUUAUGGUGGAAUUGGACAUACACCUCUCUUCCUCUUUCAAAACCCCUAAAGCCUGUUUUCGGUGGGGUUUGGGUGCAUGCCAGUUAUGGGAAGUAGCACCCCGGCCACUAUAAGGAUUAAGCUCGGGCCUCUGUUGCAAAGCACUACCGUACUAACCACAUGUCUAAUGGGUAAGGCUUAACUCGGUGCUCAGUCUAGUCCUGAACAAAAGGACACGGAUUGGAGAUGGAUGAAGUCGGGUGUCGAUGGACAUUCUCCAGGGCAAAUGAAGGCUACACGAGCUGCGGCCCGGUAGUCGAGAUGUCGUAUGGCAGAGGGUUGGUGCCCUGCUGCUAGGGGCUCAGUUCUGCCUGCCUGUCCCGGGUAUCCCGGCCGUAGGUGGGAUUGGGUCGGUACUUUUGUUCACGGCUAGGAUGGGUGAAGGGUUAUGUCACAUCUUUACGACGGGUUCCAAGGCCAUGGAAUGCGGAGUAAAGAUGUGUCUUGUGGGUAAAGAUGUACACCUCUGAUCAGAGUAAAUCUAUUCGAAUAGCCGAGCCCUCGGAUAUGGGCAAGCCUAGCAAUGUACCCAAGUCAGUGUUUUAAUUCUUAAAAUUUGCUCAACAACUAAAAUAUGGAAUGGUUGGCCUGGGUUGGCUUGGGACGAGCUGGGACCCAGGGUCGGGUUGCCAGUUCGGUCCGAAUCAUCGUAGGCCUUGGGUUAAGGCAGGUUCGUGAGGGUUCACGGCCUUGAUUAAUAAUACUGUGUAGCUCUAGGAUCGUCUUUACAAAAUGGCUUUGGGCAACUAAGUGGCUUUUAAAUGCUGUUUACUGCAAAACUUAACCUCUAUAUUAUUAUCCCCUUGUACUCCUUUGCAUUAAUUGUGCAUCCCCGGUGUGGCUUGCUGAGUACUGUGGUUGUACUCAUUCUUGCUCAAUCUUUCCCCUCUUCAGUAAGAGAAGCUUUGGAGAAGAAGUCUUAGGUGGAGUCCUGGCUUAUACCCCAGUUGAGCGCCUGUGAAGAUGGAGCCGUAGGCCCGCUAGUCCGCUGCUGUUUAUUUUUGAUUGUCAGGCCUUAAGUGCCUUUGUAAUAAUGUAAAUAUUAUCGAUAUAAUAAAGAUGUGUCUUUUAUAUCAUGUUUGUGUGGUGUACCCCGGCUUUUCCUGGGACGGGGAUUAAUACACUAGCGUUCGGGAAAAGGCAAUUUUCCCGGUCGCGACAAUGGACUUCUCGCCACUUCUCAGUCUGGCGCACUAUAAUGAAUCAUGCUAUACAAAGGAUAAAGCCGUUGCCCACGCUGGCUUGUGGUUGGCACGAUAAAUGUUUCACAACAGUAGCUCGCGAACCGGUCCUUAAUUGCCAUGAGCACGACCUUCAAAACCAUGUGCUCACAACCCACCAUUAAUCAUAUUUUAAUUACCAAUUAAUUAUCAUAACACGAUUAACCAUCGUGAGCUACCAUUAAAUAUAACCAUAAUAAUAAUGUAGUAUAUAUGAUUCAUCCCAUUAGUGAGCUAAUGUUUCUAAACAUGGCUAAGCAAUUAUAUAUAUAUAACAUUUAGCUGAACCAAACCAAUACAUAAGGUUCAAGCUAAUCAAUUUAUUACCCAAGGUAUCAAGGAAUAGAGCAUUCAAUGCAAAUUGGCCAUAACAAAGGAAAAGGUUCACACCACCCGGUGACAUUCAAAAAUAAAUGCACAGUUGAAAUAAAUAGAGAAUUUAAAUAUAGGAUCAACAUGCUCAAAGGAUUGUGUUUAGGAUCUGUGUGACUUGCCUUGCAAUAAUCGAUCUUCAAUUAAUCUUCUUGAUCACUUCCGACGCACUCACGAACCUUCGCAACGACGGAAACGACAAGCUAACACGCAAAACGAAGAAAAAGACUAAUAAAAAACCAAAUAAACAGUACAUAAAAAGUAAACAAACAUGUAGAUCAUAAUUUUAGAUGAAUUAUGAGACUUGAACGGCCUCAUUCUGACUUCAAAUGAAUUUAUUAUGAAUUUUACAAGAUUAAAUCUAAUUAAAGCCCAUUUAAAAAGAAUUAAAUAAAUUUAAUUCAAUUUAUGGACAAUUUUAAUAUGUAGAUCUUUAUUUUAGAAAAAUUUAGCAACUUGAACUACAUUAAACUGAGUUACGAUGAUUUAGUUAUGAUUUUCCGAAGAUUUAAUCUAUUAAAAGAAAAGGAAAAAGAUGAGAUGAUGACGUCAGCAUGACGUCAUCCAUGGCCGGCGGCUCGGAUUGGCGACCUCGCCGGAGCUAGGAUGGUCGGCCGGGGAUUUGGAGGGCACCUACGCAUAGAGGACGACGAGAUGAACCCAACGGUACUCACCACGACGACAAACGACGAACGACGACGGCCGGCGACGAGAAGGGCGACGGCGGCGGCUCGGUUGAACGGCGACGGCGAGCUCCGGUGGCCGGCGGCAAAGAAGGACGGGCGGCCGAGCUUCUCCACCCCUUGGCGCACCUCUUGGCGAUGGCGGCAAGCGGCGGCGACGACGGAGGCGGCGGCGCGACGACGCCGAAGAUGGCCGGCGGCGGCGGCGAGCUAGACGCGCGUGGCGCGGCGGCUAGGAGGCACGGGAGACCACGGGAGAGAGAGCAAAUGAAAGAGGGCGACGAGGGGAUGCUAUAUAUAGCCUUGGAUUGAAGAGAUCGAACUCCAAACGAGAGGAAUCGACUCGGGAAAAAUCCAAACUCGGUUUUAGGGAUAAAAUCAAAACGAACUCGAUUCGGAUAAAAUACCCAACGAUUCGCUCCGAUUCUUGAGGGGAAAGAUAGAGGAGAAUGAGAGGAUAAAAUCCCCUCAAAAACCCGGAGGAAACGGGGUCGGAUUGGGUUGGAUUUGAGAGAAGAAAGGAGGCGCGGUCGGUCGGCAGCUCGGCUCGGCUUGGCCGGCCGGAGGUAGGGGAUGACCCCGACAUGUGGGCCCCACAUGUCGGUGGCUAGAGGAGGAGGGGCGGCGGCUGCUUGGCUGGGCCGACUUGGGCCGGUUCGGCCGCGCGGAGAAGAGAAGAGUUGGGCCGAAUUCGGCCCAACGGCUUAAAGGAGGGGUUUUUGAACUUUUUCAAUAAAAACAAUUUGUGAAAUGUUGUUUCAUUUAUUAAAAAUACUUCCCUUGCUCAAAUAAUUCCCAGAAAAAUCUAGAAAAUAGAGGAGCAAGCAUAGUAUUUAAUAAAAUUUUAUCUAGCUCAUUUUUAUAUUGAAAAUUUUCCUAGAAAAUUAGGGUUUAGCUUGUAGGUUUUUAAAAUAAUUUCUAAAAAAUUCCAAUUAAACAACAAUUUAUAUAUUUAGGAUUUUAAACAAGAAAAACUCUUAACAAUUAUAGUUAGAUCAUUUAAUGAUCAAAUAAUUACUAAACUGUUCUUUGUAUCAUUUAGGAAUUGAGCUCCGAAAAAUCCGAGAAAAUUCCAGAGAGUAUAAUUAACCAUGGAGAAUUUAAUAAAAAUUAAAUCCAUCCAUGCUUUAUAUUUAGGAAAUUUUAUUUCCCACAUUUAACUUCACUUGUAAAUUAAUGAACAUUUAAUAUAAAUUCUAUUAAUAAUUUACUAAAUUCUUUAUAAAUCUUGAAACGAAAAUCAGGCUGUGACAGAACUCCAAACGAGAGGAAUCGACUCGGGAAAAAUCCAAACUCGGUUUUAGGGAUAAAAUCGAAACGAACUCGAUUCGGAAAAAAUCCUCAACGAUUUGCUUCGAAACUUGGGAAAAGAUAGAGGAGAACGUGAGGAACAAAACCCCUCAAAAACCCGAAAGAAUCGGGGUCGGAUUGGAGCAGAAACGGAGGCGGAAAAGGGCGGCUCGGGCUUGCUAGGGCGGCCGGCCGGAGGUAGGGGAUGGAUCCGACAGGUGGGCCCCACCUGUCGGUCUCCUGAGAGGAGGGCACGGGCGGCUCGGCUGGGCCGGCUUGGGCCGCGCGGGAGAGAGAGAAUGUUGGGCCGAAUUCGGCCCAACGGCUAAGGAAGGGGAUUUUUGAACUUUUUUGAAUAAAAACAAUUUGUGAAAUGUUGUUUCAUUUAUUAAAAAUACUUCCCUUGCUCAAAUAAUUCCCAGAAAAAUCUAGAAAAUAGAGGAGCAAGCAUAGUAUUUAAUAAAAUUUUAUCUAGCUCAUUUUUAUGUUGAAAAUUUUCCUAGAAAAUUAGAGUUUAGCUUGUAGGCUUUUAAAAUAAUUUCUAAAAAUUCCAAUUAAACAACAGUUUAUACAUUUAGGAUUUUUAGGGCGUGACAAACCUACCCCCCUUAAACGGAAUCUCGUCCUCGAGAUUCAGAAGAACUGGCGAACAGAUGAGGAUGAGCUGACUUCAAUUCAUCUUCUCGCUCCCAAGUGGCUUCUUCUUCUGAAUGAUUGCUCCACUGAACCUUGCAGAACCGUAUAACGCGAUUCCUGGUAUUCCUCUCGCUUACUUCCAAAAUUCUGACGGGCUUCUCAACAUAAGUUAAAUCUUCUUGAAGCUCUAUACGAUCAGGAUCUGCUUCCUCCGUAGGUACACGUAAACAUUUCUUCAACUGAGACACAUGGAACACGUCAUGCAUUCCCGUCAUUGACGAAGGCAACUCUAACUGAUAAGCUACUUCACCUCUUCGACUCACAAUCUUAAAAGGUCCCACAAAGCGCGGUGCCAAUUUCCCUUUGGUUUGGAAACGAUGAACACCUCGUAACGGCGUAACCCGAAGGUAUACAUAAUCUCCUUCUUCGAAAGCCAAAUCUUUGCGACGAUUGUCGGCAUAGCUCUUCUGACGUGACUGAGCAACACGCAACCUUUCUUGGAUAAUCUUCACUUUUUCUUCUGCCUCUCGCAAUAUGUCUGUCCCAAAAACCUGACGUUCACCGGUUUGAUCCCAAAGAAGCGGCGUACGACACUUUCGACCAUAUAAUGCUUCAUACGGAGCCAUUUGCAAACUAGCUUGAUAACUAUUGUUAUAUGAGAAUUCCGCGUACGACAAAUUCUUAUCCCAACUUCCACCAAAAUCUAGAACACAGGCUCUCAACAUAUCUUCUAAAAUUUGGUUUACUCUUUCUGUCUGACCAUCUGUUUGAGGGUGAUAAGCGGUACUGAAAUUCAAACGGGUACCCAUCUCAACUUGUAAUUUCUGCCAAAACUUCGAAGUAAACUGGCUACCUCUAUCUGACACUAUCUUCUUAGGAACGCCAUGCAAACAUACCACUCUGGCCUUGUAUAACUCUGCAAGCUUAUUCCCCGUAUAGGUUGUUUUGACCGGUAUGAAAUGCGCGACUUUUGUCAACCUAUCAACCACUACCCAAAUAGAAUCAUGUCCUGCCGACGUUCUGGGUAGACCGGUUAUAAAAUCCAUUCCUAUUUCUUCCCACUUCCACUCUGGAAUCUUUAACGGUUGUAACAGAUCGGCUGGCUUCUGAUGUUCUGCCUUGACCCGCUGACAUACAUCACAUAGAGCCACAUAUUCUGCUAUCUCACGACGCAUACUGGCCCACCAGAAUUGUUGCUUUAAAUCUUGAUACAUCUUAGUGCUUCCAGGGUGAAUGGAAUACAAAGUUUCAUGAGCUUCUUUCAUGAUAGUAUCCUUCAACUCCUUAUUAUCUGGGACGCAAAUUCUUUCUCCUAACCACACAGUACCUUGCUCAUCUUCUACAAAACCGAUGGCUUUUCCUCUUCUCAUGUUUUUCUUUAUUUCUUGGAUAUCAGGAUCAUUCACUUGAGCUUCUCUAACUUGAUCAAACAGAGUAGGUUUAGCUUCUAAAGCGGCCAUAAAACCUUUGCUGACUAUUCCCAAGUUCAACUUUUCAAAUUCUUGGCAUAACUCCCGAGGUAAACGUCGACCUUCUGACAUAUUACAGUAGCUUUUCCUGCUAAGUGCAUCGGCUACAACAUUUGCUUUCCCCGGGUGAUAGUGGAUUUCCAUAUCAUAAUCUUUAAUCAACUCUAACCAUCUUCGCUGACGCAUGUUCAAAUCAGGUUGAGUGAAAAUAUACUUCAAACUUUUAUGAUCCGUAUAUACCUCUGUACAGUUACCGAAAAGAUAAUGACACCAAAUCUUCAAUGCAUGCACCACAGCAGCCAAUUCUAGGUCAUGCGUUGGGUAGUUAUUCUCAUGGGGACGUAAUUGCCUAGACGCAUAAGCAACCACCUUUCCUUCUUGCAUCAACACACAACCCAAACCGAGUCGGGAUGCAUCACAAUACACUUGGAAACCUUUCCUCGAAUCAGGCAAAACUAACACAGGCGCAGUCACUAGCCUUUUCUUCAAUUCUUGGAAACUUUGUUCACAAUCCUCUGUCCACUUGUACUUUACUUCCUUCUGAAGCAGACGAGUCAUUGGUCUGGCGAUCUUUGAAAAGUUCUCAAUAAACCUGCGGUAAUACCCAGCAAGUCCAAGGAAACUACGAAUUUCUGAAACCGUCUUGGGUUGCUUCCAACUUAACACUGACUCCACAUUGCUUGGAUCUACUGCCACUCCUCCGGACGAGAUGACAUGACCAAGAAACUUCACUUCGGACAACCAAAAUUCACAUUUACUGAACUUGGCAUAAAGCUGAUGCUCACGUAGUUUCUCUAAAGCUAGACGAAGAUGCUCUUCAUGUUCUUCCUUCGUCUUGGAGUAAAUAAGAAUGUCAUCAAUAAACACCACGACAAACUUAUCCAGAUAUUCCAUAAACACCUUGUUCAUCAGAUUCAUGAAAAAGGCUGGGGCAUUAGUGAGUCCAAAUGACAUAACGGUACAUUCGAACAUACCAUACCGAGUUGUGAAAGCGGUCUUUGGUAUAUCUUCCUCACGGAUUCGAAGUUGAUGAUAUCCAGAACGGAGAUCUAUCUUAGAGAAAACUGUAGCACCUUCCAGUUGAUCAAACAGGUCAUCAAUUCUGGGUAGAGGAUACUUAUUCUUGAUAAUCACCUCAUUCAACGCUCGAUAAUCCACGCACAUUCUCUGAGUAUGAUCUUUUGUCACGCCCGGAAUUUCUAUCCAAAAUUCCAAACGCUUACAUGUGUGUGAACCCUCGUCCAGGAAUCAGCCGAGGCACACAAUAACAAAUUGAUAAUAGAGUACAAUUAUUACUCUAAUUAAUAAGCGUAUAAAGUGUCAUUACAGAGGUAGAUAGUUCCUCUCAAACAAUAAAUAUCUAAGCAGCGGAAAAAGAAAUAAACGGCGCAGACGGCUCCACUCCACAGGCAGCUUGACCAAGGCUACACCUAAUCCUCCACUCCAUCAGCUUCACUGUAGAACUCUUCCUCUGAUGAAUGAUUGCAAGGUGAGUAUAUGACAUACUCAGCAAGCCACGCAGCAAAUAUGCAAGUGCACAGGAUAACAAAGGAUGGCAUAAUAGGGUUUCAUUUGCAAAAGCAGCAUUUAGCAAACAUUUGAGAAUUUAAUCAAACCGUUAAGUAAUAAUUAAACAAUAUUAAUCCAACGCUAUACAACAUACCCUGUUGUAUAGGCCCAACCAUUCUAAACAACCACCUCGGCUGCACAGUUCUAUCUCCAAACCAGGAAUAUACCAUUCCAAACCAGGAGCUAAUCAAAUUAUUACCAGUUAAAGCAUCAUUUACUAAGAUGAGAAGUGUGGGACUAAUCACGAAAGACAUUGUUAGACUCGCCCAUAACCGCGGGCACAGCUAUUCGAAUAGUUUUACUCUGAUCAGAGGUGUACCACUGUACCCACAAGACACAACCCCACAUCAUGUCACCAUGUGCCUCAAUACCACCACGGUACCUCGGAAAGGAGUUGUGACAAUACCCCUCAUACAACACAAUCCACUGCAGUGCACCUUCCUGGAUCAUAAUCACCCCCUUAUAAACAAGGCAUGGACUCCCCAGCGACCCCCGUGGGCUUAUCUCCGCCACUUCUCAGUCUGGUGCCCCGCAAUGAACCAUGCUAUACAAAGGAUAAAGCCGUUGCCCAUGCUGGCUUGUGGUUGGCACGAUUAAUGUUUCACAACCGAAACUCGUGAACCGGUCCUUAAUUGUCAUGAGCACGACCAUCAAAACCAUGUGCUCACAACCCACCAUUAUCAGGUUUUAGUUGGCACAUUAAUUAAUUAACCAAUCACGAUUGUCCAUCGUGAACUAUCAAUAAGCCAUCGUGAAAUAAUAGUGAAUCAUUAGUUAUCCCAUAAGUGUGCUAAUGUUUCUAAGCAGGGCUAAGCAAUUAUUUCUAAUAUCUAGUUGAACCAAUAAACAUAAAGCUCAACUAGUCCAAUUUUAAUAACCCGAGGUAUCAAGGAAUAAGGUAAUCAAGAACAAAAGGGCUAUAACAAACAAUAGGUUAAUUCCACCCAAUGACAUUCGAAAAUAAAUGCAAUAUUUGAAUAGAAACAAUAGCUUUAAAUAGGAUCAACCAUGCUCAAAGGGUUGUUUGGGAUCUGUGUGACUUGCCUUGCUGGCCUUGGAACUCUUCAAACUCUUCUCCGGCGAAAACGGACUCUCCGGAAACGACGGAAUCUAAGCAGAAAGAAGCAAAAACACCAAAACAGCACAUAAAUAAGCUUGAACAGUACAUGUGGAUAUUUUUAUUGUGUAGAUCUCAAUUUUAGAAAAAUUUAGAGACUUGAACCAACUAAAUCGGAGCUAAGAUGAAUUAGUUAUGAAUUUUUAAAGAUUAAAUCGGAUUAAAACACUUAAAUCGGUUAAAAUUGAAUUAUGACGCAAUAAUGAAUUAUUUUUGAAAAGGAAAAGAAGGUUUAUUGCGUCAGCGGCUAGGGUUUCGGUGGACCGGGCGCACGGGCGGCGGUUCACGCGAACGGACGGCCGAGAUCGAUCCAAUCCAAAACGGACGGCCGAGAUCGAACGGUCCACGACCGGCUCACGGCGGACGACCCCGAUGACGUUAGCGAUGACGUCACCGACAGCGGCGGCGGCUCGGCGGAGCAGACGGCUCGGACGGCGCACGCUCGCCGGCGAACGGCGGCACUACGGCACAAACGGAGGGCACCAGCACGUAGAGGACGACGCGGCGAACUCACCGGUGACCAAAACGGCGGCGGAGGAAGAACGGACGGCGACGGUGACGAGGUUGAAACGGCGGCGGAGAUCGGGUCGACGACGGCGACGAUGCUCCGGCGGUCUCCGACGGUGGCGAAGUGGCGGACGAGGACGACGACGACUUGGCGACCACGACGGCGGUCUUCCCGAGCGACGACGAUGACCGGAACGGCGGCGGCGCACGGCUGGAGCGACGGCGGCGACGGCGGCACUAGGGCACACGGUGCUAGAGCUCUUCCGGCGACGAGAGGCGAAGGCGAGGGUGGCGACGGGUAGAGGAGGCACCGGGGGUCCUUUUAAAUGGGCUCGGAGGCGGCGGCAAAGGCCCACGGCGACGGCAACGGCGAAGGAAAGCUCGGGUAGAACGAAUCCGAGACGAACUCGAAUCCAACUCUUUCCAAGACGAUUUGGCCAAAGAUUCCAAAGGAGAAAAGGUAGAGGAGAUCCCGAGGAUCAUUUCCCCUCUAUCAAUUCGGCCGGAGAAGGAAAGGAGCGGCCGGAUUGGAAAGCGGCGGCGGCGGCGCGAAACUAGGGUUUCGGCCCGAGGAAGACGACGACUCCGACAGGCGGGACCCACCUGUCAGCGACAGCGAGGGCGCGCGCGCGAGCGGCUGCGGCUGCGGACUGGGCCGGCUGGGCCGAGGAGAGAGAGAGGAGGUUUUGGGCCGACUUUCGGCCCAAAGCCAAAAGAAGACUUUUUAAAACCUUUUUCCAUUUAAAUUAUUUCUUAAAUGCAAUUCCAUUUAUUAAAAAUACUUUCUUAGCUCAAAUAAAUCCCAGAAAAAUCUAGGAAUUAUAGAAUUAAGCAAAGUAUUUAAUAAAAUUUUAUCUGGCCCCAUUUUAUAUUGGAAUUUAUUAAUUAAAACUAGAUCUUCCUUUCUAGGCUUUUAAAAUAUAUUCUAGAAAUUCCAAUUAAACAACAAUUUAUAAAUUUUGAAUUUUCAGGAUGUGACAAACCUACCCCCCUUAAACAGAAUCUCGUCCUCGAGAUUCGGAAGAACUGGCGAACAGAUGCGGAUGAGCUGACUUCAAUUCAUCUUCUCAUUCCCAAGUUGAUUCUUCUUCCGAGUGAUUACUCCAUUGGACUUUGCAAAAACGGAUAACUCGAUUCCUGGUUCUUCUCUUAUUUGUUUCCAAGAUACGGAUUGGUUUCUCCACAUAGGUCAGAUCCUCUUGGACUUCUAUCUAUUCAAGAUUAGCUUCUUCGGUAGGUACCCUUAAACACUUCUUCAAUUGCGACACAUGGAACACAUUAUGGACUCCUGCCAAGGAUUGAGGUAACUCUAACUGAUAAGCAACCUCUCCUCUUCUACUGACAAUCUUAUAAGGUCCCACAAAACGCGGUGCUAAUUUUCCUUUGGUAUGAAAACGAUGAACUCCUCGAAAAGGCGUGACACGAAGAUACACAUAAUCUCCUUCUUCAAAACUCAAAUCUCUACGGCGAUUGUCGGCAUAACUCUUAUGACGAGACUGAGCCACUCGCAAUCUUUCUUGAAUGAUUUUCACCUUUUCUUCUGCUUCUCUUAGAAUAUCCGUCCCGAAAACCUGACGUUCUCCCGUUUGAUCCCACAAAAGCGGAGUGCGGCACUUACGACCAUACAGUGCUUCGUAAGGAGCCAUCUGUAUACUAGCUUGAUAACUGUUGUUGUACGAAAAUUCUGCAUAAGGUAGAUUCUUAUCCCAACUUCCACCGAAAUCUAAAGCACAAGCUCUCAACAUGUCUUCCAAAAUCUGAUUCACCCUUUCGGUUUGUCCGUCUGUCUGCGGAUGAUAAGCAGUGCUAAAGUUCAGCUUAGAACCCAUCUCUUCCUGAAGUUUCUUCCAGAAAUUUGAGGUAAACUGACUGCCUCGAUCAGACACUAUUUUCUUAGGGACGCCAUGCGAACACACAAUCCUUGCCAUAUACAAUUCUGCCAACCGACUUCCGGAAUAAGUUGUCUUUACCGGAAUAAAAUGAGCCACUUUGGUAAGUCUAUCGACUAUUACCCAAAUAGAGUCAUGGCCUGAUGACGUUCUGGGUAAACCAGUGAUAAAAUCCAUACCGAUUUCUUCCCAUUUCCAUUCAGGAAUCUUCAAAGGCUGCAGCAAACCGGCAGGUUUCUGAUGUUCUGCCUUGACACGCUGACAAACAUCACAUACUGCUACGUAUUCUGCGAUUUCACGCUUCAUACUUGCCCACCAAAAUCUUUCUUUGAGAUCCUGGUACAUCUUAGUACUUCCAGGGUGAAUGGAGUAUAAAGUAUCAUGAGCUUCUUUCAGAAUUACAUCUUUCAAAUCUUUGUUGUCAGGGACACAGAUUCUCUCGCCCAACCAAACAGUUCCUUGCUCAUCCUCCAAGAAACCGAUAGCUUUUCCUCUUCUCAUAUUCUUCUUGAUCUCUUGAAUAUCAGGAUCAUUAAUUUGGGCUUCUCUAACUUGAUCAAUUAGAGUGGGCUUCGCUUCUAAAGCUGCAACGAAACCUCUACUGACAAUUCCCAAAUUUAAUCUUUCAAAUUCCUGGCAUAACUCCAAUGGCAACUGUCGUCCUUCGGUAGCAUUGCAAUAGCCUUUCCUGCUAAGAGCGUCGGCUACAACAUUUGCCUUUCCUGGGUGAUAAUGAAUUCCCAUGUCAUAAUCCUUAAUUAAUUCCAACCAUCUCCGUUGUCUCAUGUUCAGAUCCGGCUGAGUAAAGAUAUACUUUAAACUCUUGUGAUCGGUAUAUACCUCUGUACGAGUACCGAAAAGAUAAUGACGCCAAAUUUUCAACGCAUGAACUACUGCAGCUAACUCAAGAUCAUGAGUAGGGUAGUUCUUCUCAUGCGGACGUAACUGACGAGAUGCAUAGGCAACCACCUUCCCAUCUUGCAUCAGAACACAACCUAACCCAAGUUUGGAUGCAUCGCAAUAGACUUGGAAACCCUUCUUUGGAUCGGGUAAAAUCAAAAUAGGAGCUGAUAUCAAGCGAUUCUUCAACUCUUGAAAACUCUGCUCACAUUCUUCUGACCACUUGUACUUCACAUCUUUCUGUAGCAGUCGUGUCAUGGGCUUAGCAAUCUUGGAAAAAUUCUCUAUAAACCUCCGGUAAUAUCCUGCGAGGCCUAGAAAACUGCGAAUCUCUGAAACUGUCUUUGGUUGUUUCCAGUUGGUUACGGAUUCCACAUUACUGGGAUCGACGGCAACUCCUCCUGCUGAGAUGACGUGACCAAGGAACUUCACUUCAGACAACCAAAAUUCACACUUGCUAAACUUAGCAUACAGUUGAUGUUCUCGUAGCUUCUCCAAUGCAAGGCGAAGAUGUUCUUCAUGCUCUUCUUUGGUUCGGGAGUAGAUAAGAAUGUCAUCAAUAAAGACCACCACAAACUUGUCUAGGUAUUCCAUAAACACCUUAUUCAUCAAGUUCAUGAAGAAAGCAGGGGCAUUGGUAAGUCCAAAAGACAUAACAGUACAUUCGAACAACCCAUACCUAGUGGUAAAAGCUGUCUUAGGUAUAUCUUCCUCUUUGAUUCUCAACUGGUGAUAUCCUGAUCGAAGAUCUAUCUUGGAGAAUACAGUAGCACCUUUAAGCUGAUCAAACAAAUCAUCAAUUCUGGGCAGCGGAUACUUAUUCUUGAUAGUCACAUCGUUUAAUGCACGAUAGUCCACACACAUCCGCUGAGUAUGGUCUUUCUUUUCCACAAAAAUAACCGGAGCACCCCAUGGAGAUGAACUCGGUCUGAUGUACCCUUUCUGAAGCAAAUCGUCUACUUGCCUUUUGACUUCUGCCAACUCAUUGGCUGCCAUUCUAUAAGGUCUCUUAUGGAUCGGAGUUGUUCCUGGUACCAAAUCUAUUCUGAACUCUAUAUCCCUUUUGGGCGGCAUACCAGGUAAAUCAUCUGGGAACACAUCGGGAUACUCCCGGACUAUAGGAAUCUCUUCCAAAGUUAUCUGGUUCAGUCUUGACCUUAAAGACUCAGAUGACAAUGCAUGAACAGUUACAACUCGACCAUCAUUGCUGAUGAGAGUUACUUUUCUGUUAGCACAGUCUAUCACACCUUUAUGUCUGGCUAACCAGUCCAUCCCUAGGAUGACAUCAAGGUCUUUGGAUUCUAACAAGAUAAGAUUGGCCAGAAAUGGUACUCCUUGAAUUUCUAUUCUGACAGAGGGGCUACGUUGCAAAGAGAGUGCUUGAUUGCUUGGGGUACUAACCAUCAAAGGACGUCUAAGAUCUUCUACUUCCAUCCCAUGAUUUCCCGCAAAACUCAUAGAUAAGAAUGAAUGUGUAGCACCAGAAUCGAAAAGCACUGUUGCAGGAACUGAGUUAACAGAAAACGUACCCAAAAUCACAUCUGGAGCAUCUUGGGCUUCUGCAGCAGCAACAUGAUUGACACGGGCCUUUGAUGCUGGUGCGGUAGAGUUGCUCUGGGCAGGGACAACCUUCACGCGUCGGGGCUUCGGACACUUGUCAGCAUAAUGUCCUGGGUCUCCACAGUUGAAACACACCACGGGCUUGCUGCCUGGCUCCCUCUUGGCAGGUUGUUGCUGUGUUGGAGCUGCAACAGGACGUGGAGCUUGAUUGCGGAUGUUGUUGCCAGCAUUGUUGUUGAAAAACUGACGUUGCGGACGAACAACAGACGAAGAACCUCCCUGUGGCAUAGACUGGGGUCCUAAAGUAAGACGCGGCUUCUGAUUACUCCCCUGUUGUGCUUUGAAGUGAGCAAUCCGGCGUUUCUUCUGCUCCAUGCGGUUGUACUUGUCUUCCUGACGAAUAGCCUUAUCCAUUAAUUUCUGGAAAUCAGAAUAAUCUCCAGUCAUGAGUGGGUAAGAAAGCUCAUCAUUAAGUCCUUCCAAGAACUUCUCCUGGCGCUCUUCAUCAUUGCGCACAUCUUCCGGAGCAUAACGAGCAAGACGAUUGAACUCGUGCAGAUACUCCGUAACAGAGCGAGAUCCCUGGGUGAGCGACCUGAACUCCUUCUUCUUGAGAGACACCACUCCCGAUGGUAUAUGCGUCUUCCGGAAAGCAGCGGUGAAUUCAAGCCAAGUAAUAGGUUCAGCAGUAGUCCUAUUCAGGCGGAAGUGAUCCCACCAUUCAGAGGCAGGGCCAUGCAACUGAUGUGAUGCAAAUGAGACCUUCUCCUGAUCAGUGCACUGAAGCAAAUCCAACUUCUUCUCUAUGGCAUGCAGCCAAUCACCAGCUUCAACAGGAUUAGUGGUACUAGAGAAAACAGGCGGCCUCACACGAAGAAAUUCUGCUAACUUAUUCUGAGGAGGUGCAUGGUUAUUUCCUUGGUUCUGCUGAUUCUGGAGUUGCUGCAUCAUCAUGUUCAUGAGUUGUGUCUGUUGAGCAAGAACUUGGGCAAGAGUGGGAUUCUCUCCAUUAUUGUUGUUAUUGGGGUUGUUAGGGCCAUUCCCAUUGCUGCGAGUGUUCACCAUCUGGCAUGGACAGGGCACAAGAAGAGAAACCGGGGGAAACUACUUAGGAUAGAGAAUUACUUUAACUUUUAUUGAUCUUAACUGAGUUUUAUUACAAACUGAAGACUCUCACACCACUAAACUCACCAACUUCCUCACACUCAAAAGCAAACAAACGCAUGCACUUACAUCCCACCACUGAUGUAAAUCACAUGCGAGACACACACAAGCAAACUUAAAACAAGCAAACUAACACAACGAUCUAAGACCACGACUUAACAAGUCACUCUAGUUCUUCUGAGCAUCGGAGGUCGAUUGAAGGCUCGUUCGGCUCGUCUUCAUCAUCUUGAGUUGCUACCCACUCAAUCUUGGAAUGGGUGCGCUUGGAUUCUUCAUCUUCAUCACUACUUAUGAUAAUGACCGGAGGAUCUGCUGGGGCAACUUCUUUCUCCACCACACGAACCUUUGGCGCCAAUUGAUAGCGAGGGACAAAUAGAGCUCUCUUCCUUGCGGUAAGACGAAUCCUGGCCUUCUGCGGCGGAGCUUCUCCCUUCAAUGCGGCUAAUUCCUUCUCCAAACGAUCCACCUUGUCUUCGAGCUUGCAAAUCUUACCACGAUUCCGGUCUUCACGAUCUUGAGCUGCUAACACAGUCUCCGCACGACUUUCAUCCAUAGCCCACAACAUCUCAACCAAAUGCCUUGUGGUAGCAUCAUUCUCAAUUCCUUCAGUCUCAAGGUAACUGCCACGGUCACUUCCCUGUGGUUGACGAGGAUGAUAGCGAUACUCAGUGUCGGCCAACUGAUCACUGUAGCGAUCACGGAGCUCUCCUAUGGCGAUCCUUGCCACUUCCUGACAUGCAUGGAUGUAGUUUCUUCCUCCAGCUUCGAACAUUACUGAGGGGACCUCUUCACUAUUGCUGUUCAAAGUAACUUUGACUCGGCACUUCUCUUCAUGACGAUCAUGAGGAAUCUGGGCAUAAAAAGGGGCAGUCCCAAAUCCAAUGACAAAGGACAUCGUACGCAACUCCUGGACAAAACCCUCAACACCAAACAAGUACUCAGGCUUGUAGCGCGGCAUCUAAAGACAAGUGAAAGGAGGGAGUUAAGACAUCUAUCCAAUUAACAGCACAAGUUUUUGGAUUAAUUUGAAUAAAGUUUAGAAAUCAAAAUAAACCAAACCUGCAGGAUAAGUUGAAACAGUUGGAAACAAGGUUACAAGCUUUGUGCUUUUGAGUAACAGGUUUUAAAAGAAAUAAAAGAAAGUUAUAAAAUCAACUUGCUAAAUCUAUUUUAUUGCAGCAAGAUUAAAUAAAACAACAUUGUAAAACUUUUGCUGGUAAAUGAGCCAUUGGUACAGUAAUAAAUGUACGGUACUAAUAACACUGGAAUAAAUUUUGAAUGAGAACCAUUAAAAGAGAUUAUGAAGUGCAUGUGCCAUUAGUUUGGUUUAAUUAAAAGAGAAAGGGAGGAGAACAGUUCUACUUUUCCAAUAUUUUUAGAAGGCUUCUAUGGGUAACCAUUUGGCAUAACCUAGGGUCAAGGGGGCUCUGAUACCAACUUGUCACGCCCGGAAUUUCUAUCCAAAAUUCCAAACGCUUACAUGUGUGUGAACCCUCGUCCAGGAAUCAGCCGAGGCACACAAUAACAAAUUGAUAAUAGAGUACAAUUAUUACUCUAAUUAAUAAGCGUAUAAAGUGUCAUUACAGAGGUAGAUAGUUCCUCUCAAACAAUAAAUAUCUAAGCAGCGGAAAAAGAAAUAAACGGCGCAGACGGCUCCACUCCACAUACCGAGGUGCGAGCUUCCCUUUUGUCUGAAACCUGUGCACACCUCGCAAUGGCGUGACCCGAAGGUAUACAAAAUCACCCACUGCGAAUUCCAGGUCACGGCGACGGUUAUCUGCAUAACUUUUCUGCCGAGACUGUGCCACCUUUAGAUUAUCCCGAAUGAUUCUGACUUUAGCUUCAGCUUCUCUCAGGAUAUCAGUCCCGAACACUUGGCUUUCUCCAACUUGGUCCCACAAGAGCGGUGUCCGGCAUUUGCGCCCGUACAACGCUUCAUAAGGUGCCAUUUGUAUGCUGGCUUGAUAACUGUUAUUGUAGGAGAAUUCGGCAUAGGGGAGACUCUUAUCCCAGGUCUUCCCGAAAUCUAGUACACAUGCGCGGAGCAUAUCUUCUAGGAUCUGAUUUAGAUGCUCGGUCUGUCCAUCUGUCUGCGGGUGAUACGCGGUGCUGAAAUUUAAUCGGGUUCCCAACUCUUCUUGGAGUUUCUUCCAAAAAUGAGAGGUGAAUUGGCUUCCCCUAUCAGAUACAAUUUUCUUGGGAACGCCAUGGAGACUCACGAUCCUAGCGAAGUAGAGCUCGGCUAGUUUGUUCCCUCCAUAGGUGGUCUUCACAGGAAUAAAUCGAGCUACCUUGGUUAAUCGAUCCACAACUACCCAUAUAGAAUCAUAUCCACCUUGGGUUUUUGGAAGUCCGGUGAUGAAAUCCAUCCCAAUUUCAUCCCAUUUCCAUUCUGGUACUUGGAGAGGUUGGAGAAGUCCGGCCGGUCGUUGGUGCUCUGCCUUGACACGCUGGCACACAUCACAAAGGGCCACGAACUCUGCAAUUUCCCGCUUCAUACUAACCCACCAGUAUUUCUCCUUCAAGUCUAAGUACAUCUUUGUACUGCCCGGGUGAAUGGAAUAAGGGCUCUCGUGAGCUUCCUGAAGUAUCAGCUGUUUGAGUUCUCGGUUAUCUGGAACGCAUACCCGCUUUCCGUUCCAUAGGGUUCCGUGUUCAUCCUCUGUGAAACCAGCGGCUUUACCCUGUUUCAUAUUCUUGAGGAGUCCAUGCAUGUCCGGAUCAUUCUUCUGAGCCUUGCGGAUUUGAUCGAGCAAGGUAGGCUUGGCUUCUAGCGCAGCCAAGAAUCCGCGACCAACUAUGCUUAGGUUCAGGGCUUCCAUCUGUUGAUUAAGUUCGGGUGGAAUGCCACGGACGUUAAGAGUGUUGCAAUGGCCCUUUCGACUUAGAGCGUCGGCAACCACGUUGGCCUUACCAGGAUGAUAGUGAAUUCCCACAUCAUAGUCCUUGAUGAGUUCUAACCAUCUCCUUUGCCGAAGAUUCAGAUCCGACUGGGUGAAGAUGUAUUUCAAACUCUUAUGAUCGGUAUAUAUUUCACAGCGAUUCCCAAUGAGAUAGUGCCGCCAGAUUUUUAGAGCAUGAACCACCGCGGCUAACUCCAAAUCAUGUGUAGGGUAGUUGCCUUCAUGAGGUCGCAGCUGACGUGAGGCAUAGGCUACCACAUGACCGUCCUGCAUGAGCACGCACCCCAAUCCUUGGCGCGAAGCGUCACAAUACACCAGGAAGUCCUUGCGAGUAUCCGGCAAGAUUAACACCGGCGAGGAAACCAGCUUUUCCUUGAGAGUUUGGAACGCCUUCUCGCAUUGCGGGCUCCACACAAAUUUCUCUUCUUUCUUCAACAACUGUGUCAUGGGUCGAGCGAUUUUGGAGAAGUUCUCGAUGAAUCUCCGGUAGUAUCCUGCCAAACCUAAGAAACUGCGGACUUGAGUAACUGUCUUGGGUUGCUUCCAAUCGGUGACGGUGGUCACUGUUUCGGGGUCCACAGAAACUCCUUUAGCAGAUAUCACGUGUCCUAAGAAUUUGACUUCGGACAGCCAGAACUCACACUUGCUAAGUUUGGCAUACAAUUGAUGUUCCCGCAGCUUUCCCAACACCAGACGGAGAUGGUGCUGAUGGUCUUCCUCUGAUUGUGAGUAUACCAGAAUGUCAUCAAUGAAAACCACAACAAACUUAUCCAAGUAUUCCAUGAACACUUUGUUCAUUAAGUUCAUGAAGAAGGCAGGUGCAUUGGUUAGGCCGAAUGACAUCACCGUGAAUUCAUACAGCCCGUAUCGCGUGGUGAAUGCGGUCUUCGGAAUAUCUUCUUCACGAAUACGUAAUUGGUGAUAUCCGGAACGAAGAUCAAUCUUGGAGAAUACAGUGGCACCUUUAAGCUGAUCGAACAGAUCAUCGAUCCGGGGAAGAGGGUACUUGUUUUUGAUGGUGACUUCAUUGAGAGCUCUGUAGUCAACGCACAUCCUCUUAGUCUUGUCUUUCUUCUCCACAAAAAUCACAGGAGCACCCCAGGGGGAAGUACUCGGACGUAUAUACCCCUUUUCUUUCAACUCUUCCAACUGUUUCUUUACUUCGGCCAGUUCAUUUGCUGCCAUACGGUAGGGUCGCUUGUGCAGAGGAGUGGUUCCUGGAGCAAGAUCUAUCCGGAACUCAAUCUCUCGCUUGGGCGGCAUACCGGGUAGUUCUUCCGGAAACACAUCUCCGAACUCCCUGACGAUGGGGAUUUCUGACAGUCCUAUCUGAUGCAGUUCUGAACUACUGACAGAGGUUGGGGGUGCAAAGAAAACAACCGGUUGUUCCGGCCCUCGGUACAGAGUGACAGUGCGCCUCGCGCAAUCCACUACUCCUUGGAAUUGAGCCAACCAAUUCAUCCCAAGGAUCACAUCCAAGUUCUUGGUGUCUAGCAGAAUCAGAUCCGAGGGAAAAGGAAUCCCCUGAAUUUCUAUAGGGACGGCAGGGCUAUAAUACUUUGCUGUCAUAACCCCUCCAGGGGUGGUGAUGAGCAGAGGGUUCCUAAGCCUUUCUACCCCCAACUGAUUUCUCCCCACGAAUGGCACAGAUAUAAACCAGUGGGAAGCUCCAGAGUCGAACAAAAUGGUAGCAGGGAUGGAAUGAACGAGGAACGUACCAACGAUGACGUCUGGAGUUGUCAGCACGUCCUCGGCCGUCACGUGAUUCACACGACCCCGAAUGACAUCCUUCCCACCGUUGUUGGAGUGGGGAGGCGCUUGGCCUUGCUGACGCCUUGGCUUCGGGCAUUUAUCCGCAAAGUGCCCGGGCUCGAAGCAGUUGAAGCACAGACGCUGCUGACCUUGAGCGUCCCUGCGGCCUUGACCAGACUGCACGGUUGGCGUAGGAGGACGGGGCGCACGAGUCCCUUGCUGAUUCUGCUGCUGCUGCGGCUGUGGGACGCGCACCACGAAUUGAGGUCGCGGCGCGGAGCGAGGUUGCUGCUGCUGUUGUUGCUGUUGCGAGGAGGAUCCCCCUGGAUAGGGGUUGGUGUAGCGGACCCUUUGGUUAGCACCCUGUUGAUUGCGGAAAUUCGCCAAGCGGCGCUUGUGCGACUCCAGUUCCUUGUGCUUUGUCGCGUCCCAAAACGACUCUAAAAUACAUCCUCGAAAUUGUGCCGAGAAUAAUUAAAAUUCAUGUGAAAGCCUCCAACAAUUAAAAUGUGCAAAUAUAAAAGUCAAAUAAGGCUUGGAGGAUUUUUGUAUAUUUCCUAAAAGCCUAAAAUGCGUAAAUAAAUUUUAGUGGAAUUUUCAGAGCACAAAUAAUAAUUGAGAAGAAAUAAACAAAGUUAAAAAGGUUUUAUAAAAAGAAAAACCCUAAAAGAAGUCCUUUUCCCCCCCUUCCUCUCUUGGGCCGGCCCGGCCCAACUCCCUCCCUCUCUCUCCUCUCCCCCGCGGCCCAUCGGCCUCCUCCCCGCGCGCGCGCCGCUGACGGGCGGGCCCGCCCGCCACCCUCGCUGACGGGUGGGGCCCACCUGUCAUCGCCUACCUCGCGCCGCGCCCGCCGCCGCCCGUGCCCUAGCGCCGCCGCCGCCGCCGAAUCCGCCGCAUCCCGCCGUCCCCGCGCGCCAUAAAGAGGGGGAAAUCACUCCCCGUGAUUCCCUCCCUCUUUCCCCCCACUUUCCCCUCUCUCUCUCCCUCGGAUUCGCUCGGAUUUAAUCCCGCAAAGUUCGCCGGCGCAUCAAUGGAGCCCGAGAUCGCCGCGCCGGUUUCCUUCCUCCCCGGCCGCCCUCUCUCGCUCCCGUCCCUAUAUAAUUGUUCCCCGUGCCUCACUCCUCCGUUUCCGCCACUCGCCGCUCGCUCUUUCCGUCGGAUUCGUGCUCGCGCCGUUGUACUCUCUCUCCGCCGUCGCCGCCGAGCUCCGGUUCGCCGCCGUCGUCGCUCCGGACCUCCUCCCGUCUCGGCGUCACCUCCUUCGGCUUCGCCGCAUCCCCGUCAACCUCGUCCACCCCUUCGUUUCGCCCGCCGACCGUCGGAGCGCCGCCGUCCUCGUCGAUCCGAACCGCGCCGCCGUCUUCCUCCGCUCCGAUCGUCGUCUCCGCCGCCCUCGUCGUCCCGGGGUGAGCCGAGGACCGCCGUUCGCUUUCCCCCUUCCCUCCUCUCUCUCGGGUGCCGCUCCGCCGCGCCGUUGGUCGCCGGCGGCGACCAUCGGGGCGCGGGCGCGCCGCCUCCCGUCGGCCGUGCCGGCAAGGCCGCCUUCGGGCGCGCCCCGCAGCUGCCAGGUGGGGCCCGGCCGUCAGCCGCCCGCGCCCGCGGGUGCGGCUGACGCGUGGGACCCACGGCGCCGGCCGGCGUCAGCCGCGUGCGCCCGGUCCACCGUGGACCGAGAGGCUGACGCGUGGGCCCCACUCCCGUGGACCCGGUCCGCGCGCCCUCUCUCCCGGCUGACGCAAUAAAUCCGAUUUUUAAUUAAAAUUUAAAUGAAGAAAUUCGCAAAUAUCCAUUUAAAGAGCAUAUAAACUUCAAAUGGCCAUAACUUGGCCAUUUGAACUCGGAAUUGGACCGUUCAAGUCUCUAAUUUUUCCUUAAGAAGUCAAGAACCCAUUUUUGUGCUUUGUUUCUGCUGUUAUAUGGAGUUGAUUAGAGUAAAAGCCUUUUCUUUUCCGUUGGUCGUGUAGACGCUGCAGCUUCGGAAGAUCCGCUCUUCGUGGAAGUUGAAGCCGACGUUUGGGAAAGCGAGCAAGGCAAGUCACAUCAUCUUUGAACAUAUUGAAUCCCAGUUUAUAAAAUUAUGUUGAUUUAAAUUAUUGCAUUAUCGCUUUAUUUAAAUUCCCGCGUUAUCACUGUUUUAUUUAGCCAUGCCUAUUUACCUUUGUUAUGACCUUAUUAUUAUUGUUAUUGUUAUUAUUACCUUGUUCACCCUAGAACAAACAAAACCCCAACUAGUGGACACUCUACUCAUGGCACCACUAGUUUAGUUUUAGGUAGAUGCUUCGCAAUUUAAUUAGGUAACAUUAGGUGGUUUUUCAACUAUAGACUUUGGGAAAUAUUCAUAUCAUCUGGAUACUAUGGAAUGGUUUGGUUACUGUGGAAUUGGCUUCACACCGCUCCUUCUAUUCAAAAUCCCCAAAAUGGUUUUAGGCUGGGCUCGGGGUGCAUGGUUUUGAUAGUAGCACCUCGGCCAUAUAAGGACCGGUCUUCGGGCCUCUGUUGCAAAGCACUACCGUACUUCCACAUGUCUAGUGGGUAAGGCUUAGUUUGUGGCUCAGUCUGGUUAUAAACAAAAGUACACGGAUUGGAGAUGGAUGAAGUCGGGGGUCGAUAGACAUUCUCCAGGGCAAAUGAAGGCUACACGAGCUGCGGCCCGGUAGUCGAGAUGUCAUGGCACAGGGCCGGUGUCCUGCUGCUAGGGGCUCAGUCCUGCCUGCCUGUCCCGGGGGUUCCGGCCGUAGGUGGGAUUGGGUCGGUACUCUUGUCUAUGGCUAGGAUGGGUUGGAAACUAUGUCACGUCUUCCGUCUGUAUACCGUGGUGGUAUGUGGCACGUGGUUGCACGUGAGGAAGAUGUGUCUUGUGGGUAAAGAUGUACACCUCUGAUCAGAGUAUAAUCUAUUCGAAUAGCCGCGCCCUCGGUUAUGGGCAAGCCGAGCAAUGUACCCAAGUUAGUGUUUUAAUUCUUAAAACCUGCUUAUCAACUAAAAUGUGGAAUAGUUGGCCUGGGUUGUGUCACGUCCUGAUAAAUUCAUCCCGAAAUAAAAUUCAUUCGCUAAAAGGAAUAAUAGAAUUAAUUAAAAUUCGAAAAGAAAUUGGCAAACACUAAAAUACGUACAAGAAAAAUUCGAAUGUGGCCCGGAGAAUUUUUGUUAAAUUCUCCUUGGUCUAAAACGAGCCCUCAAAUUUUACUUGAAUUUUCAGAGCGCCGGAAAUAAUUAUUAAACAACAACAACAAUUAACAAAGUUUAUUAAAAAGAAAAUCUAAAAAUAACCCUCCUUCCUCCUUUGGGCCAAGCCCAGCCCAAAAGUCCUUCUCUCCUCCCUCUCUUUCUCUCCCUCCCCUUCUCUCCCUCUCUCUCCCGGGCCUCUCUUCCCCUCCCGGGCAGCCCACUCCCUCCUCUCCUCCUCCUUCUGGGCCGCCCCUCCCUCCUCUCCUUCCCGGCCCAUCUUCUCUCCCUCCCCUCCUCCUGGGCCGCCUCGGCUUCGCCCGGCCCAAGCCGAGCCGCGCUCCCACCCGUGCCGCGCACGUGCGCGUGCGUGCGCGCCGUUGCCGCGUGUCGGCCGCGCGCCCGACCGCGUGGGGCCCACGCGUCAGGCCGCCGUCGCCUUCUUCCUCCUCCGCCCGGCCACCUCUCUCUCUCUUCCCGUGGAACCCUAAUCCCUUCCUCCCUCAAAUCCACGCGAAUCAAUGCCCUUCUUUCCAAAUUGAAUAGGGGAAAUUAAACCCCAUUGAAUCCUCUUCAAUUCCCCCUUAAUUCCCCCUUGAACGGCGCCCCCAAUCGCCGGGAACGGACGCGCCAAGUCCGGCCGCCUUCCUUUGCCGCCGGCCGCCAUUCCCGUCGCCGUUCCCGCUCCUCCCGUGGCCGGCUCUCUCCCCCAUCCUAUAAAAUGGGAUCCUCAUCCCCCGUUCUACCGUUUUAGCCUCUUCCCGAGCUCUCCCGUGGUCUCUAGCCACCUCCCCACCGUCGCCCCCUCUCUCCCACGUUGCCGGCCGGCCUCCAGCCGCCUCUCCCGCCUCGCCGGAGCGUCUUCCGGCCGCGCCGUCGCCUCCUCCAGCAUCGCAGCCGCCUCCUCUCCCACGGCCUACCCUCCGUUUCGCGCGGUGACCGCCGGAGGCGCGUUCCCGCCGUCGCCCUCCCCUUUCCCUCGCGCCGGCCACCUCCAGCCGCCUUCCUCUCCUCGCCCGAGCGCCGCCCGGCCGCGCCGUCUUCUCCCUCGGCCUCGCAGCUGCCCCCUCUCCCUCGGUCAGCCCUCCGUUUCGCGGGGAAAUCACCGGAGACGCGCCCUCGCCGGCGUCCAGUGGCGUCGCCACCACUUCUCCGCCUCCGGCCGCCUCUGCCACGUCCCCGGAGCGCCGGCCGACGUCGCCACCACCUUCCUCGGCUCCACGACGCCGCUCUCAUCCCCGGCAUCACCUCCUCCUCGCCCGAACUUCGCCGGAACGCCGUCGUCUCCGCGCCGGCCUCUCCUUCCUCCUCGUCGGCUCGUCGCCCCGCUGCACCACCACCUUCACCAACGUCGCAGCGGCGUGUUCCACGCUGUCCCCUCCUCCUCUCAGCCGCUGCUGCCUGCCAUCAUCGUCGUCUCCGAUCGUUCUCGCCGUCGACGUCCCGUCGGUCGCCCGGCUCGUCGUCUCGCGGCGCCGCCUCCGUCAUCGUCAUCGUAGCGGCGUGUUCCACGCCAUCCUCACCGCCGUGCAGCCGCUGCUGGCUGCCCUCGUAGCCUCCUCGCCGGCCCCGGUCGUCGUCGUCCUCGUCCUCUCGUCGUUCCCGAUCGUCGGGGCGUUCGUCCCUCCGUCAAGCCGUUCUCGUUCGUCGUCCUCGCUUCGUCAAGGUCGCUGCAGCCCCCGUCAUCGUCUUCGUCCUCGCCUCCGCGUCGUCAAGCCUCGCGCCGGCCGCGUCUCGCCUUCGUCCAAGGAUCGCCGCCGAAGCCGUCCCCUCGCCGUUCGCCUCCGUUGUGCCCGUCUGUCUCCGCCGCGCCCGUUCGUCGUUGUCGUUCCCGCGCCUCGUCGCGUGGUGGUAAGGUUCCCUCUCCCUCGCUGCCCUGUCCUCGUCCUUUCGGUGUCGCCCAUGCCCGUUGUGCGGUUGUCGGCCCCGGUACCCGUGUAUCGGCGUCGGCAGUCGUUCGCGUGUGCGGGUGGUGACCGUGUGGUGUCUAGUGGAGUCCGUUUGUCGGCCACUCGCUUCGGUUGACACACGGGGUCCGCUUCCGUCGACCCGUGGACCGUCUCUGUGUACUCGGUCUGCCGCGGUCCUUUAGGUUGACAUGUGGGGUCCGCAUGUCAACGGCGCAGCCUUCCUGUCUUUUCCAGGCUAGCGCUUACACCUGUUUUAUAGUUGCAAAACUUGAUUAUAAUAAUCCGCAAAUCUCCAUAUAACAGCAUUAAACUUCGGAUGAUCAUAUCUCGGUCAUACGAACUCUGAAUCGACCCGUUCAAGUCUCCUAAUGUUUGUUAUAACCUAAAGAACCCUGUGCUUUCUUUUUAUGUAUUGUUAUUGCUUCUUUAUAGGCUUGUAGCUUUGCUUGUGUGCUUCGCGUAGCUUUCGUCGUUCCGGAGGUUCCCGAAGCGUGGUUCGUGGUCGUCGCCGAAGGUUCGGAAGGCCGUUCUCUCUGAGCAAGGCAAGUCACAUCAUCCUUGAGCAUAUUGAAUCCCAGUUUAUAAAAUUAUUUUGAUUUAAAUUAAUGCAUUAUCGCUUUAUUUAAAUUCCCGCGUUAUCACUGUUUUAUUUAGCCAAGCCUAUUUACCUUUGUUAUGACAUUAUUAUUGCUAUUGUUAUUAUUAUUACCUUGUUCACCCUAGAUUAAACAAAACCUCAACUAGUGGGUACUCUAUUCAUGGUUCCACUAGUAUAAAUUUAGGUAGAUGCUUCGCUGAAUAAUUAGGCAACAUUAGGUGGUUUUAUAACUUUAGACUUUGGGAGUUCUCAUAUCAUUUGGACACUAUGGAAUUGUUGAAUUAUGGUGGAAUUGGACACACACCUCUCUUCCUCUUUCAAAACCCCUAAAACCUGUUUUCGGUGGGGUUUGGGUGCAUGCCAGUUGUGGGAAGUAGCACCCCGGCCACUAUAAGGACUAAAGCUCGGGCCUCUGUUGCAAAGCACUACCGUACUUCCACAUGUCUAAUGGGUAAGGCUUAGUUUGUGGCUCAGUCUAGUCAUAAACAAAAGUACACGGAUUGGAGAUGGAUGAAGUCGGGCGUCGAUGGACAUUCUCCAGGGCAAAUGAAGGCUACACGAGCUGCGGCCCGGUAGUCGAGAUGUCAUACGGCGGAGGGUUGGUGCCCAAUGCUAGGGGCUCAGUUCUGCCUGCCUGUCCCGGGUAUCCCGGCCGUAGGUAGGAUUGGGUCGGUACUCUUGUCUAAGGCUAGGAUGGGUUGGAAACUAUGUCACAUCUUUACGACGGGUUCCAAGGCCAUGGAAUGCGGAGUAAAGAUGUGUCUUGUGGGUAAAGAUGUACACCUCUGAUCAGAGUAAAUCUAUUCGAAUAGCCGAGCCCUCGGAUAUGGGCAAGCCUAGCAAUGUACCCAAGUCAGUGUUUUAAUUCUUAAAAUUUGCUCAACAACUAAAAUAUGGAAUGGUUGGCCUGGGUUGGCUUGGGACGAGCUGGGACCCAGGGUCGGGUUGCCAGUUCGGUCUGAAUCAUCGUAGGCCUUGGGUUAAGGCAGGUUCGUGAGGGUUCACGGCCUUGUUUAAUAAUACUGUGUAGUUCUAUGAUCGUCUUUACAAAAUGGCUUUGGGCAACUAAGUGACUUUUAAAUGCUGUUUACUGCAAACCUUAAUCCCUAUAUUAUUAUUCCCUUGUACCUCCCUUGCAUUAAUUAUGCAUCUGCCGGUGUGGCUUGCUGAGUACUGUGGUUGUACUCAUUCUUGCUCAAUCUUUCCCCCCCUUCAGUAAGAGAAGCUUUGGAGAAGAUGUCUUAGGUGGAGUCCUGGCUUAUACCCCAGUUGAGCGCCUGUGAAGAUGGAGCCGUAGGCCGCUAGUCCGCUGCUGUUUAUUUUUGCUUGUCAGGCCUGAAGUGCCUUUGUAAUAAUGUAAAUAUUAUCGAUAUAAUAAAGAUGUGUCUUCUAUAUCAUGUUUGUGUGGUGUACCCCGGCUUUUCCUGGGACGGGGAUUAAUACACUGGCGUUCGGGAAAAGGCAAUUUUCCCGGUCGCGACAAGCUGGUAUCAGAGCCAUCUCGACUGUAGGAUAAGCCAAGUGGAUAAAACCCAAGGACAUAUUUUAUAAAUAAAAAUUAUUUGCGAAAGUUCCUUUUUCUCCUUCCCCUAAUGCUAUUUGCAAAAGGUUUACUCCGUUCUUCCUUCUUCGGAUUUUCAACUAGUACUAGAUGGUCAGCUUUGCGAGGAAGAAGAUGUCGUCAGUUGUUUGCCGAAGCUCCGGAAGACUGCAGGAUCCGCUAGCGAAGCGAAGGAAGCAAUGAAGCCAGCUGUGAAGGAGUGAAGAUCUUGGGAACCCGUCGCAGAACCUAAGCCACCCUAUAGGGUAGUGUUGUUAGUCGUGUGUUCCUUGCUUGUGUGUGUAGCGCGUGGUUUGCAUCGGUGGGUGGUGAUGUAACCAUGCUAGGUUGUUUGCUUAAUCAACUUGCAGAAUAAGUGAAACAAACAACACAUCAACAAAAAGAGUUAGUUCCUUUAAGGUCUUGUCCCUAGUUCUGGUCUAUUCUUUCCUUGUAUGCUUCCCCUCUCAACCCCUACCUUGUGACAGAUGGAUAAUACUGGUAACAAAGGCUAUGGGAAUGAUGGAUCCGAUGACGCAAGAACCCAAGCCAAUGGGAAUGAGAGAAGCACCAACGAAACCUCACCAGAGCUAAUCCAAGUUGUGGUUAACCAAACCAACAUGUUGGCAACAGCCUUUCAACUAUUACAGAAUUGGAGCAGCCCAGCAGGGACAACCAACGUUCAAGUGCCUACAGUCCGGCAACAGUGCAAGUUAUCAGAAUUUCUCAAAACUGAGCCUCCAACCUUUGCCAUUGCCGUCGAUCCUAUGGAAGCCAGUGAUUGGUUGCGCACAAUCGAGAAGAAGCUAGGGUUGAUUCAGUGCACCGACCAGGAGCGGGUUGGCUUCGCAACUCAUCAGUUGGUUGGACCGGCUUCAGAGUGGUGGGAUAGCUACGAAGCAUCACGGCCAGAAGGACAUACCAUCACCUGGAACGAGUUUUCAUCUGUAUUCAAGAGACCACAUGUUCCCGCAGGAAUGAUCACACUAAGAAAACGAGAGUUUCGCUACCUGAAGCAAGGAGAUUUGACCGUCACAGAGUACCUGCACGAGUUCUAUCGUUUGGCUCGCUAUGCACCAGAAGAUGUGGAAACGGAUGAAGACAAACAAGAGAAGUUUCUCCAGGGGUUAAAAGAUGAGCUUGCAGUGCAACUACUCCUAGAGGAUUAUGAAGAUUUUGAGAAACUUGUGGACAAAGCCAUGCAACUCGAAAGUGAGCAUAAUCGGAUGACGAACUGCAAGAGAAGGAUUGUCAACAUCCCAGUAAUUCCAUGUGGUAACCAAAGACAGCGCACUGAGCCACUUCAGAUCACCGGAUCUUCUGUUGUGCAUCAAGAGUUCCUGCCCCAAGAAGACGGACGCAAUACAGACAACAACCCUAGCAAUACUAAUGGUGAUGAUACCACCAACAACCAUGGUUCUUGCCCCAUUAGUGACCACUCGAAUCAAGCGUGCAAUUUUGACACUGAGAAAGACUCCAAUUGUGAUAGCAACUACGGUACCACUGAUGCCAAUGUUAGCAAGGAUUUCCAACCACCAAUUCCAACUCCUAGUCAGAACGAUCGUUCCCAGACGGACAACUCAGCAAAGAAGACGUUGAUUUGUUACAACUGCAAAGAACCAGGUCAUUUCUCCAGAGAUUGUCCACAGCCGAAGCGUAACCUGCGCCAUCACUCCGGCCAUUAUGCAAGAAGAAGACAAGUCACUCGCCUUGUGGUCACUGGAGCAAACGCCGUACCUGUGAGGCCUCAUGUUAAUUCUAACCCAUAGUAGAAACAAUGUACCGAUGUUAAGUACCGUCCCUUUUUGUUUAAGACAGUGCCUUGUAUUCAUGUAAUAUGGGAGAAAUUGGUAAUAAAAACAAGUUCUAAGAGGAUUCUUUCGGAAGAUGCGGAUAUGUGAUCAUGUGUAUAAUUGUUUACUGACAAAGGAGACCUAGGGUCUCGUGCCAGAGGAACUAUAUUCUAACCUCGAGCUAAUAACCAACCUGAGGAUGGAAAAGAAAAUCAGGUGAUUAACCAAAGAGACAUUUGUUUGGACUAAGAGUUUCAGAUGUGUCUUUUCCGGAUCAAAGGCAAUGACAGUCAGUGUAGCUUUUGGCGAAACACUUCAAGGUUUCACUGAAAGGUAGCAGACCAAAGGACCUCCUCGCCACCAGAAGCAUCCACAACUCUCGGAGUGAAGAGUACUUAGUGACCAAGGUCAAAAGAUGACUGAUAGAAGAUAUCGAAAAAGAUGUUUAUUACCAGGCAAAGAAGUAGGUCGAAAGGUGAUUAAUAAGAGAAAUCGGGAAAGAACACAUCAAGGGCAAAGGUGUAAAGGAAUACGUUGAAUGCUAAAUGAUGACAAGUUAUGACAAGCAUGGUAUCUUAGUAAAGACGAGCUGAUCUCGACGCAUGACAUGAAGUGGGUAACUUGUAUGAGGUUGACUCCAAAGAUAUGAACUAUGCAAAGUUCUGGAACUGAAGCCCCAUCUUCAAGUGCCGCAACCCAGUCGAAGUCAGCUAAAGGUUCAACCAGGGACAAGUCAGGUGAAGAGAAGAUUCCAUCUGCAACAGGAGAUCGAGCCAAGCAGUCCAGAGUGAAGAAGUGUUGUUAGGCAAGUUUGUUAUAGAAGACGGAGCGGAAGAAGUCAGACAAGAAGAGAAGACCGCCCAACCUAUCUUCUUGCUAGCCUCCUCGAAUCUCGGGGACGAGAUUCUUGUAAGGGGGGUGGAUUUGUCACGUCCUGAUAAAUUCAUCCCGAAAUAAAAUUCAUUCGCUAAAAGGAAUAAUAGAAUUAAUUAAAAUUCGAAAAGAAAUUGGCAAACACUAAAAUACGUACAAGAAAAAUUCGAAUGUGGCCCGGAGAAUUUUUGUUAAAUUCUCCUUGGUCUAAAACGAGCCCUCAAAUUUUACUUGAAUUUUCAGAGCGCCGGAAAUAAUUAUUAAACAACAACAACAAUUAACAAAGUUUAUUAAAAAGAAAAUCUAAAAAUAACCCUCCUUCCUCCUUUGGGCCAAGCCCAGCCCAAAAGUCCUUCUCUCCUCCCUCUCUUUCUCUCCCUCCCCUUCUCUCCCUCUCUCUCCCGGGCCUCUCUUCCCCUCCCGGGCAGCCCACUCCCUCCUCUCCUCCUCCUUCUGGGCCGCCCCUCCCUCCUCUCCUUCCCGGCCCAUCUUCUCUCCCUCCCCUCCUCCUGGGCCGCCUCGGCUUCGCCCGGCCCAAGCCGAGCCGCGCUCCCACCCGUGCCGCGCACGUGCGCGUGCGUGCGCGCCGUUGCCGCGUGUCGGCCGCGCGCCCGACCGCGUGGGGCCCACGCGUCAGGCCGCCGUCGCCUUCUUCCUCCUCCGCCCGGCCACCUCUCUCUCUCUUCCCGUGGAACCCUAAUCCCUUCCUCCCUCAAAUCCACGCGAAUCAAUGCCCUUCUUUCCAAAUUGAAUAGGGGAAAUUAAACCCCAUUGAAUCCUCUUCAAUUCCCCCUUAAUUCCCCCUUGAACGGCGCCCCCAAUCGCCGGGAACGGACGCGCCAAGUCCGGCCGCCUUCCUUUGCCGCCGGCCGCCAUUCCCGUCGCCGUUCCCGCUCCUCCCGUGGCCGGCUCUCUCCCCCAUCCUAUAAAAUGGGAUCCUCAUCCCCCGUUCUACCGUUUUAGCCUCUUCCCGAGCUCUCCCGUGGUCUCUAGCCACCUCCCCACCGUCGCCCCCUCUCUCCCACGUUGCCGGCCGGCCUCCAGCCGCCUCUCCCGCCUCGCCGGAGCGUCUUCCGGCCGCGCCGUCGCCUCCUCCAGCAUCGCAGCCGCCUCCUCUCCCACGGCCUACCCUCCGUUUCGCGCGGUGACCGCCGGAGGCGCGUUCCCGCCGUCGCCCUCCCCUUUCCCUCGCGCCGGCCACCUCCAGCCGCCUUCCUCUCCUCGCCCGAGCGCCGCCCGGCCGCGCCGUCUUCUCCCUCGGCCUCGCAGCUGCCCCCUCUCCCUCGGUCAGCCCUCCGUUUCGCGGGGAAAUCACCGGAGACGCGCCCUCGCCGGCGUCCAGUGGCGUCGCCACCACUUCUCCGCCUCUGGCCGCCUCUGCCACGUCCCCGGAGCGCCGGCCGACGUCGCCACCACCUUCCUCGGCUCCACGACGCCGCUCUCAUCCCCGGCAUCACCUCCUCCUCGCCCGAACUUCGCCGGAACGCCGUCGUCUCCGCGCCGGCCUCUCCUUCCUCCUCGUCGGCUCGUCGCCCCGCUGCACCACCACCUUCACCAACGUCGCAGCGGCGUGUUCCACGCUGUCCCCUCCUCCUCUCAGCCGCUGCUGCCUGCCAUCAUCGUCGUCUCCGAUCGUUCUCGCCGUCGACGUCCCGUCGGUCGCCCGGCUCGUCGUCUCGCGGCGCCGCCUCCGUCAUCGUCAUCGUAGCGGCGUGUUCCACGCCAUCCUCACCGCCGUGCAGCCGCUGCUGGCUGCCCUCGUAGCCUCCUCGCCGGCCCCGGUCGUCGUCGUCCUCGUCCUCUCGUCGUUCCCGAUCGUCGGGGCGUUCGUCCCUCCGUCAAGCCGUUCUCGUUCGUCGUCCUCGCUUCGUCAAGGUCGCUGCAGCCCCCGUCAUCGUCUUCGUCCUCGCCUCCGCGUCGUCAAGCCUCGCGCCGGCCGCGUCUCGCCUUCGUCCAAGGAUCGCCGCCGAAGCCGUCCCCUCGCCGUUCGCCUCCGUUGUGCCCGUCUGUCUCCGCCGCGCCCGUUCGUCGUUGUCGUUCCCGCGCCUCGUCGCGUGGUGGUAAGGUUCCCUCUCCCUCGCUGCCCUGUCCUCGUCCUUUCGGUGUCGCCCAUGCCCGUUGUGCGGUUGUCGGCCCCGGUACCCGUGUAUCGGCGUCGGCAGUCGUUCGCGUGUGCGGGUGGUGACCGUGUGGUGUCUAGUGGAGUCCGUUUGUCGGCCACUCGCUUCGGUUGACACACGGGGUCCGCUUCCGUCGACCCGUGGACCGUCUCUGUGUACUCGGUCUGCCGCGGUCCUUUAGGUUGACAUGUGGGGUCCGCAUGUCAACGGCGCAGCCUUCCUGUCUUUUCCAGGCUAGCGCUUACACCUGUUUUAUAGUUGCAAAACUUGAUUAUAAUAAUCCGCAAAUCUCCAUAUAACAGCAUUAAACUUCGGAUGAUCAUAUCUCGGUCAUACGAACUCUGAAUCGACCCGUUCAAGUCUCCUAAUGUUUGUUAUAACCUAAAGAACCCUGUGCUUUCUUUUUAUGUAUUGUUAUUGCUUCUUUAUAGGCUUGUAGCUUUGCUUGUGUGCUUCGCGUAGCUUUCGUCGUUCCGGAGGUUCCCGAAGCGUGGUUCGUGGUCGUCGCCGAAGGUUCGGAAGGCCGUUCUCUCUGAGCAAGGCAAGUCACAUCAUCCUUGAGCAUAUUGAAUCCCAGUUUAUAAAAUUAUUUUGAUUUAAAUUAAUGCAUUAUCGCUUUAUUUAAAUUCCCGCGUUAUCACUGUUUUAUUUAGCCAAGCCUAUUUACCUUUGUUAUGACAUUAUUAUUGCUAUUGUUAUUAUUAUUACCUUGUUCACCCUAGAUUAAACAAAACCUCAACUAGUGGGUACUCUAUUCAUGGUUCCACUAGUAUAAAUUUAGGUAGAUGCUUCGCUGAAUAAUUAGGCAACAUUAGGUGGUUUUAUAACUUUAGACUUUGGGAGUUCUCAUAUCAUUUGGACACUAUGGAAUUGUUGAAUUAUGGUGGAAUUGGACACACACCUCUCUUCCUCUUUCAAAACCCCUAAAACCUGUUUUCGGUGGGGUUUGGGUGCAUGCCAGUUGUGGGAAGUAGCACCCCGGCCACUAUAAGGACUAAAGCUCGGGCCUCUGUUGCAAAGCACUACCGUACUUCCACAUGUCUAAUGGGUAAGGCUUAGUUUGUGGCUCAGUCUAGUCAUAAACAAAAGUACACGGAUUGGAGAUGGAUGAAGUCGGGCGUCGAUGGACAUUCUCCAGGGCAAAUGAAGGCUACACGAGCUGCGGCCCGGUAGUCGAGAUGUCAUACGGCGGAGGGUUGGUGCCCAAUGCUAGGGGCUCAGUUCUGCCUGCCUGUCCCGGGUAUCCCGGCCGUAGGUAGGAUUGGGUCGGUACUCUUGUCUAAGGCUAGGAUGGGUUGGAAACUAUGUCACAUCUUUACGACGGGUUCCAAGGCCAUGGAAUGCGGAGUAAAGAUGUGUCUUGUGGGUAAAGAUGUACACCUCUGAUCAGAGUAAAUCUAUUCGAAUAGCCGAGCCCUCGGAUAUGGGCAAGCCUAGCAAUGUACCCAAGUCAGUGUUUUAAUUCUUAAAAUUUGCUCAACAACUAAAAUAUGGAAUGGUUGGCCUGGGUUGGCUUGGGACGAGCUGGGACCCAGGGUCGGGUUGCCAGUUCGGUCUGAAUCAUCGUAGGCCUUGGGUUAAGGCAGGUUCGUGAGGGUUCACGGCCUUGUUUAAUAAUACUGUGUAGUUCUAUGAUCGUCUUUACAAAAUGGCUUUGGGCAACUAAGUGACUUUUAAAUGCUGUUUACUGCAAACCUUAAUCCCUAUAUUAUUAUUCCCUUGUACCUCCCUUGCAUUAAUUAUGCAUCUGCCGGUGUGGCUUGCUGAGUACUGUGGUUGUACUCAUUCUUGCUCAAUCUUUCCCCCCCUUCAGUAAGAGAAGCUUUGGAGAAGAUGUCUUAGGUGGAGUCCUGGCUUAUACCCCAGUUGAGCGCCUGUGAAGAUGGAGCCGUAGGCCGCUAGUCCGCUGCUGUUUAUUUUUGCUUGUCAGGCCUGAAGUGCCUUUGUAAUAAUGUAAAUAUUAUCGAUAUAAUAAAGAUGUGUCUUCUAUAUCAUGUUUGUGUGGUGUACCCCGGCUUUUCCUGGGACGGGGAUUAAUACACUGGCGUUCGGGAAAAGGCAAUUUUCCCGGUCGCGACAAGCUGGUAUCAGAGCCAUCUCGACUGUAGGAUAAGCCAAGUGGAUAAAACCCAAGGACAUAUUUUAUAAAUAAAAAUUAUUUGCGAAAGUUCCUUUUUCUCCUUCCCCUAAUGCUAUUUGCAAAAGGUUUACUCCGUUCUUCCUUCUUCGGAUUUUCAACUAGUACUAGAUGGUCAGCUUUGCGAGGAAGAAGAUGUCGUCAGUUGUUUGCCGAAGCUCCGGAAGACUGCAGGAUCCGCUAGCGAAGCGAAGGAAGCAAUGAAGCCAGCUGUGAAGGAGUGAAGAUCUUGGGAACCCGUCGCAGAACCUAAGCCACCCUAUAGGGUAGUGUUGUUAGUCGUGUGUUCCUUGCUUGUGUGUGUAGCGCGUGGUUUGCAUCGGUGGGUGGUGAUGUAACCAUGCUAGGUUGUUUGCUUAAUCAACUUGCAGAAUAAGUGAAACAAACAACACAUCAACAAAAAGAGUUAGUUCCUUUAAGGUCUUGUCCCUAGUUCUGGUCUAUUCUUUCCUUGUAUGCUUCCCCUCUCAACCCCUACCUUGUGACAGAUGGAUAAUACUGGUAACAAAGGCUAUGGGAAUGAUGGAUCCGAUGACGCAAGAACCCAAGCCAAUGGGAAUGAGAGAAGCACCAACGAAACCUCACCAGAGCUAAUCCAAGUUGUGGUUAACCAAACCAACAUGUUGGCAACAGCCUUUCAACUAUUACAGAAUUGGAGCAGCCCAGCAGGGACAACCAACGUUCAAGUGCCUACAGUCCGGCAACAGUGCAAGUUAUCAGAAUUUCUCAAAACUGAGCCUCCAACCUUUGCCAUUGCCGUCGAUCCUAUGGAAGCCAGUGAUUGGUUGCGCACAAUCGAGAAGAAGCUAGGGUUGAUUCAGUGCACCGACCAGGAGCGGGUUGGCUUCGCAACUCAUCAGUUGGUUGGAACGGCUCCACCAGACGCGGCGACGCUUGGGGCGGCAGACCUCUCCCUGGGCGAUCUUGAGCUGAUGCAGCUGCGCCUCCACCGCGUCUAGGUCCUUCUUGAGCUGCAGGUUCUCCUGACGCAGCUCCAGGAUCUUCAUGUUGUUCUCGACCAUCCCACGGCGUACCAUCUGGUGGAAGUCGAUACGAGCCGCGUCGUACGCCUCCACCAUGCGCGCCAGGUGCACGAUGGUAGCGUCAUCCUCCGAGCUAGCAUCCCGGAAGGUGGCGUAGUCGCGGGCUCCUCCGCGACGAGGGUGGUAGCGGUAGGGCGAGUGCUGCAACUCGUCCGGGUAGCGCUGGUGAAGAGUGCCGAUAGCGAGGAGAGCGGCGUUCUGGCAAGCGGCGGGGAAGGAAUCUCCACCCGCGGUGACUGCCAGCGAAGUCCGCUCGGGAGAGCCAGACAGGAUCACUGCAGUGACCUCCCAACCAGCGUGGGGCUCUGCAUCGUCACCCUCCUGCUCCGGAAGCGGCCUGGCCUGGUAGUCCACUCCAUGUGGAUACCCCAAGACCACGCACAUGCCCCGCAGCUCCAAGACGAAGCCAGUCAUGUCCAAACCACGACGGGUGACGCUGCUGGCCAUCUACAAACAAAAACAAAAAGAAAAACAACAUUUUAAAGGUCAGAUUUUGGCGAUAAAUGAAGCAGCAAGACAGAGAGAGACUAGACAGUUUUCACAAAUAACAAAAGAUUUUUAUUUUUGAAAAUAUUGCUAAGGCUUGGGAUCUACGGCUCGUCCUAGGGUCAACGGUGGCUCUGAUACCAACUUGUCACGACCGGAAAUAACCCAACGGGCGUUCCUGACGUGCGUGCAUUAAUCCUUGUCCCAGGAGGCAAGGUACACCAAAAGUUGAUACAAUUCAGAGUUUAACAAGCGGAAGCGUAAAUAGUUAACUUAUUACAUGGGCAGCGAAGGCCCAGCACACACAGAGACAAACGAGAAACAGCGGAAGACUAGGGCGACGACCACAGGCGCUUGACGGCAGGCACGAGCUAGACACCAAAGCCUUCAUCUUCAAGGAGCUCCUCUUCUGGGCUUGGGAAAAAUUGAGCAAGACUGAGUACAACCACCGUACUCAACAAGACACACCCACAAAUGCAGAAUAAAUGCAAGGGAGUACAAAGGAAUUAUACUAUAAAGGGGUUAGGGUUGCAGUAAACAGCAUUUAAAGACGUUUAGUUGCUCAAAGCUAUUUUGUAAACGCGAUCCUAGAACUAUACAAUAUUAAUUAUCAAGGCCGUGAACCCACACGAACCUGCCUUAACCCAAGGCCUAUGAUGAUUCAGACCGAACUGGCAACCCGACCCUGGGUCCCAGCUCGUCCCAAGCCAACCCAGGCCAACCAUUCCACAUUUUAGUUGUUAAGCAGGUUUUAAGAAUUGAAACGCUAACUUGGGUACAUUGCUCGGCUUGCCCAUAACCGAGGGCGCGGCUAUUCGAAUAGAUUAUACUCUGAUCAGAGGUGUACAUCUUUACCCACAAGACACAUCUUCCUCACGUGCAACCACGUGCCACAUACCACCACGGUAUACAGACGGAAGCUGUGACAUAGUUUCCAACCCAUCCUAGCCAUAGACAAGAGUACCGACCCAAUCCCACCUACGGCCGGAACCCCCGGGACAGGCAGGCAGGACUGAGCCCCUAGCAGCAGGACACCGGCCCUGUGCCAUGACAUCUCGACUACCGGGCCGCAGCUCGUGUAGCCUUCAUUUGCCCUGGAGAAUGUCCAUCGACCCCCGACUUCAUCCAUCUCCAAUCCGUGUACUUUUGUUUAUAACCAGACUGAGCCACAAACUAAGCCUUACCCACUAGACAUGUGGAAGUACGGUAGUGCUUUGCAACAGAGGCCCGAAGACCGGUCCUUAUAUGGCCGAGGUGCUACUAUCAAAACCAUGCACCCCGAGCCCAGCCUAAAACCAUUUUGGGGAUUUUGAAUAGAAGGAGCGGUGUGAAGCCAAUUCCACAAUAACCAAACCAUUCUAAAGUGUCCAGGUGAUAAGAAUAUUUCCCAAAGUCUAUAGUUGAAAAACCACCUAAUGUUACCUAAUUAAAUUGCGAAGCAUCUACCUAAAACUAAACUAGUGGUGCCAUGAGUAGAGUGUCCACUAGUUGAGGUUUUGUUUAUUCUAGGGUGAACAAGGUAAUAAUAAUAAUAACAAUAAUAAUAAGGUCAUAACAAAGGUAAAUAGGCAUGGCUAAAUAAAACAGUGAUAACGCGGGAAUUUAAAUAAAGCGAUAAUGCAAUAAUUUAAAUCAACAUAAUUUUACAAACGGGGAUUCAAUAUGUUCAAAGAUGAUGUGACUUGCCUUGCUCGCUUUCCCAAACGUCGGCUUCAACUUCCACGAAGAGCGGAUCUUCCGAAGCUGCAGCGUCUACACGACCAACGGAAAAGAAAAGGCUUUUACUCUAAUAAACUCCAUAUAACAGCAGAAACAAAGCAUAAAAAUGGGUUCUUGGCUUCAUAAGGAAAAAUUAGAGACUUGAACGGUCCAAUUCCGAGUUCAAAUGGCCAAGUUAUGGCCAUUUGAAGUUUAUAUGCUCUUUAAAUGGAUAUUUGCGAAUUUCUUCAUUUAAAUUUUAAUUAAAAAUCGGAUUUAUUGCGUCAGCCGAGGGAGAGGGCGCGCGGACCGGGUCCACGGGAGUGGGGCCCACGCGUCAGCCUCUCGGUCCAUGGUGGACCGGGCGCACGCGGCUGACGCCGGCCGGCGUCGUGGGUCCCACGCGUCAGCCGCACCCGCGGGCGCGGGCGGCUGACGGCCGGGCCCCACCUGGCAGCCGCGGGACGCGCCCGAAGGCGGCCUUGCCGGCACGGCCGACGGGAGGCGGCGCGCCCGCGCCCCGAUGGUCGCCGGCGGCGACCUCCGGCGCGACGGAGCGGCGGCCGAGAGAGGGGAGGGAAGGGGGAAGUGAAACGGCGGUCCUUGGCUCACCCCGGGUCGACGGCGGUGACGGAAACGGCGACCGAAGCGGCGAGAGGCGGCGGCGCGGCUCGGGUUGACGAGGACGGCGGUGCUCCGACGGUCGGCGGGCGAAACGGAGGAGUGGACGAGGUCGACGAGGACGCGGCGAAGCCGAAGGAGGUGACGCCGAGACGGGAGGAGGUCCGGGGCGACGACGGCGGCGAACCGGAGCUCGGCGGCGACGGCGGAGAGAGAGGACGACAGCGCGGGCUUGAUUCCGACGGGGAGAGAAAGCGGCGAGCGGCGGAAACGGAGGAGAGAGGCUCGGGGAGCGAUUAUAUAGCGUCGGGAGGGGGAGAGAGCGGCCGGAGGGGAAGGAAUCGGCCGCGGAAAUCUCGGCCGCCAUUGAUGCGCCGGCGAAGAUCGCGGGAGUGAAUCCGGACGAAUCCGAGGGAGAGAGAGAGGGGAAAGUGGGGGGAAAGAGGGAGGGAAUCACGGGGAGUGAUUUCCCCCUCUUUAUGGCGCGCGGGGACGGCGGGAUGCGGCGGAUUCGGUGGCGGCGGCGGCGCUAGGGCACGGGCUGGCGGCGGGCGCGGCGCGAGGUAGGGGAUGACGGGUGGGCCCCACCCGUCAGCGAGGGUGGCGGGCGGGCCCGCCCGUCAGCGGCGCGCGCGCGGGGAGGAGGCCGAUGGGCCGCGGGGGAGAGGAGAGAGAGGGAGGGAGUUGGGCCGAGCCGGCCCAAGAGAGGAAGGGGGGGGGGGGAAAAGGACUUUUAGGGAUUUUUCUUUUUAUAAAACCCUUUUAACUUUGUUUAUUUCUUCUCAAUUAUUAUUUGUGCUCUGAAAAUUUCACUAAAAUUUAUUUACGCAUUUUAGGCUUUUAGGAAAUACACAAAAAUCCUCCAAGCCUUAUUUGACUUUUAUAUUUGCACAUUUUAAUUGUUGGAGGCUUUCACACGAAUUUUAAUUAUUCUCGGCACAAUUUCGAGGAUGUAUUUUAGAGUCGUUUUAGGACGCGACAGGGUCCCAGCUCGUCCCAAGCCAACCCAGGCCAACCAUUCCACAUUUUAGUUGUUAAGCAGGUUUUAAGAAUUUAAAACACUAACUUGGGUACAUUGCUAGGCUUGCCCAUAACCGAGGGCGCGGCUAUUCGAAUAGGUUAUACUCUGAUCAGAGGUGUACAUCUUUACCCACAAGACACAUCUUCCUCACGUGCAACCACGUGCCACAUACCACCACGGUAUACAGACGGAAGACGUGACAUAGUUUCCAACCCAUCCUAGCCAUAGACAAGAGUACCGACCCAAUCCCAACCUACGGCCGGAACCUCCGGGACAGGUAGGCAGGAUUGAGCCCCUAGCAGCAGGACACUAGCCCUGUGCCAUGACAUCUCGACUACCGGGCCGCAGCUCGUGUAGCCUUCAUUUGUCCUAGAGAUGUCCAUCGACCCCCGACUUCAUCCAUCUCCAUCCGUGUACUUUUGUUUAUAACCAGACUGAGCCACAAACUAAGCCUUACCCACUAGACAUGUGGAAGUACGGUAGUGCUUUGCAACAGAGGCCCGAGCUUAAUCCUUAUAUUGGCCGGGGUGCUACUUCCCACAACUGGCAUGCACCCAAACCCCACCGGAAAACAGGUUUUAGGGGUUUUGAAAGAGGAAGAGAGGGGUAUGUCCAAUUCCACCAUAAUCCAACAAUUCCAUAAUGUCCAAAUGAUAUGAGAUUUCCCAAAGUCUAAAGUUAUAAAACCACCUAAUGUUGCCUAAUUAAACAGCGAAGCAUCUACCUAAAUUCAUACUAGUGGAACCAUGAAUAGAGUGUCCACUAGUUGGGGUUUUGUUUAUUCUAGGGUGAACAAGGUAAUAAUAACAAUAGCAAUAAUAAUGUCUUAACAAAGGUAAAUAGGCAUGGCUAAAUAAAACAGUGAUAACGCGGGAAUUUAUAUAAAGCGAUAAUGCAUUAAUUUAAAUCAAAAUAAUUUUAUAAACUGGGAUUCAAUAUGCUCAAGGAUGAUGUGACUUGCCUUGCUCAGAGAGAACGGCCUUCCGAACCUUUGGCGACGACCGCGAACCACGCUUCUGGAACCUCCGGAACGACAGAAGCUACGCGAAGCACACAAGCAAAGCUACAAGCCUAUAAAGAAACAAUAACAAUACAUAAAAAGAAAGCAUACGGUUCUUUAGGUUAUAACAAACAUUAGGAGACUUGAACGGGUCGAUUCAGAGCUCGUAUGACCAAGAUAUGAUCAUCCAAAGUUUAAUGCUGUUAUAUGGAGAUUUGCGGAUUAUUAUAAUUAAACUUUGCAACUAUAAAACAUGUGUAAGCGCUAGCCUGGAAAGACAGGAAGGCUGCGCCGUUGACAUGCGGACCUCACAUGUCAACAAAAAGGACCGCGGUAGACCGCGUACACAGAGACGGUCCACGGGUCGACGGAAGCGGAUCCCGUGUGUCAACCGAGGCGAGUGGCCGACAAACGGACUCCACUAGACACCACACGGCCUGCACACGUGGAAACCACGCGGCUACCGAGCGGGCACACUAACACAGACACUACACGGUCACCACCCGCACGCGUGAACGACUACCGACACCGGUACACGGGUACCGGGGUCGACAACCGCACAACGGGUACGGGGUGACACUGAAAGGACGAGGACGGGGCAGCGAGAGGACGGAUCCUUACCACCACGCGACGAGGCGUGGGAACAACAACGACGAACGGGCGCGGCGGACGGCGAGGGAACGACUUCGGCGGCGAUCCUUGGACGAAGGCGAGACGCGGCCGGCAUGAGGCUUGACGACGCGGAGCCGAGGACAAAGACGACGACGGCUACAGCGACCUUGACGAAACACCGAGGACGGACGAGAACGGCUCGACAGAGGGACGAACGCCACGACGACCGGGAACGACGGGAGGACGACGACGACGACGACCGGGGCCGGCGAGGAGACGACGAGGGCAGCCGGCAGCGGCUGCACGGAGGCGAGGAUGGCGUGGAACACGCCGCUGCGAUGUCGACGACGGAGGCGGCGCCGCGAGAUGACGAGCCGGCGAGGAUGAACGGUGACGACGACGACGAACACCGGCGGGGUUCGGUCGAAGGGGAGGCGAGGCCGAGGGCGUCCUUGACGCUGCGAUGCCGGAGGUGGAGACGGCGACGUCGGCCGGCGCACUGGCACGGCGAAAGGGGCUGCCGGAGUGGGUGCCGACGAGACCGAGGAAGAGGCGGCGCGCGUGACGGCGGUGAGGGCUAGGGACCACGGGAGAUCGCGGGAGUGGGCUAAAACGAUAGAACGGAGCGAGGGGAUUCCGUUUUAUAGCGGAGGGAAGCGAGCCGGGCAUGGGAGAGGGCGGAACGGCGACGGGAAACACGGCCGGCAGCCAUGGAAGGCGGCCGGGAAUGGCGCGGCCGUUCCGGGCGAUUGGGGGCGCCAUUCAAGGGGAAAAACGGGGGAAAUCAAAGAGGAAUCAAUGGGGAUUAAUUCCCCCCAAUCAAUUUGGAAAGAGCCGGCUUGAAUGGAGCGGAUUUGGAGGAGGAACGGCGCUAGGGUUCACGGGAGAGAGAGGAAGGAGGCCGGCGGCUGGAGGCCGGGGACGCGCCUGACAGGCGGGACCCACGCGGGAGGCGCGCGGUCAACGCGCGGCAACGGCGCGCACGCACGCGCACGUGCGCGGCACGGGAGGGAGGCGCGGCUCGGCUUGGGCCGGGCGAAGCCGAGGCGGCCCAGGAGGAGAGGAGGGAGAGGCAGCCCGGGAGGGAGAGGGUGGAGGAGGGAGUGGGCCGAGAGGGGGAGGGGAAGAGUGGGCCGGGAGGAGGAGGAGAGGCCCGGGAGAGGAGGGAAAGAGAGGGAGGAGAGGGAGACUUUGGCCGCGGGCCAAGAGAGAGAGAGGAACCUUGGGCCAGACUUGGCCCAAAGGGAAGGAGAGGGUUAUUUUUAGGUUUUCGUUUUAUUAAACUUUGAUAAUUGUUUUUGUUGCUUAAUAAAUAUUUCCGGCGCUCUGAAAAUUCAAGUAAAAUUUGAGGGCUCCUUUUAGACCAAGGAGAAUUUAACAAAAAUUCUCCGGGCCACAUUCGAAUUUUUCUUGUACGUAUUUUAGUGUUUGCCAAUUUCUUUUCGAAUUUUAAUUAAUUCUAUUAUUCCUUUUAGAAAAUGAUUUUUAUUUUGGGAUGAAUUUAUCAGGACGUGACACCACAUCAUGUCACCAUGUGCCUCAAUACCACCACGGUACCUCGGAAAGGAGUUGUGACAAUAACCCUUGCACAACAUAACCCAUUACAGCGCACCUUUCCUGGAUCAUAAUCACCCCCUUAUAAACAAGGCCUGGUGUCGCGUCCCAAAACGGCUCUAAAAUACAUCCUCGAAAUUGUGCCGAGAAUAAUUAAAAUUCGUGUGAAAGCCUCCAACAAUUAAAAUGUGCAAAUAUAAAAGUCAAAUAAGGCUUGGAGGAUUUUUGUAUAUUUCCUAAAAGCCUAAAAUGCGUAAAUAAAUUUUAGUGAAAUUUUCAGAGCACAAAUAAUAAUUGAGAAGAAAUAAACAAAGUUAAAAAGGUUUUAUAAAAAGAAAAACCCUAAAAGAAGUCUUCUUUCCCCCCCCCUCCUCUCUUGGGCCGGCCCGGCCCAACUCCCUCCCUCUCUCUCCUCUCCCCCGCGGCCCAUCGGCCUCCUCCCCGCGCGCGUGCCGCUGACGGGCGGGCCCGCCCGCCACCCUCGCUGACGGGUGGGGCCCACCCGUCAUCCCCUACCUCGCGCCGCGCCCGCCGCCCGCCCGUGCCCUAGCGCCGCCGCCGCCGCCGAAUCCGCCGCAUCCCGCCGUCCCCGCGCGCCAUAAAGAGGGGGAAAUCACUCCCCGUGAUUCCCUCCCUCUUUCCCCCCACUUUCCCCUCUCUCUCUCCCUCGGAUUCGUCCGGAUUCACUCCCGCGAUCUUCGCCGGUGCAUCAAUGGCGGCCGAGAUUUCCGCGGCCGAUUCCUUCCCCUCCGGCCGCUCUCUCCCCCUCCCGACGCUAUAUAAUCGCUCCCCGAGCCUCUCUCCUCCGUUUCCGCCGCUCGCCGCUUUCUCUCCCCAUCGGAAUCGAGCCCGCGCCGUCGUCCUUUCUCUUCGCCGUCGCCGCCGAGCUCCGGUUCGCCGCCGUAGUCGCCCCGGACCUCCUCCCGUCUCGGCGUCACCUCCUUCGGCUUCGCCGCGUCCUCGUCGACCUCGUCCACUCCUCCGUUUCGCCCGCCGACCGUCGGAGCACCGCCGUCCUCGUCAACCCGAGCCGCGCCGCCGCCUCUCGCCGCUUCGGUCGCCGGUUCCGUCACCGCCGUCGACCCGGGGUGAGCCAAGGACCGCCGUUUCACUUCCCCCUUCCCUCCCCUCUCUCGGCCGCCGCUCCGUCGCGCCGGAGGUCGCCGCCGGCGACCAUCGGGGCGCGGGCGCGCCGCCUCCCGUCGGCCGUGCCGGCAAGGCCGCCUUCGGGCGCGUCCCGCGGCUGCCAGGUGGGUCCCGGCCGUCAGCCGCCCGCGCCCGCGGGUGCGGCUGACGCGUGGGACCCACGGCGCCGGCCGGCGUCAGCCGCGUGCGCCCGGUCCACCGUGGACCGAGAGGCUGACGCGUGGGCCCCACUCCCGUGGACCCAGUCCGCGCGCCCUCUCCCUCGGCUGACGCAAUAAAUCCGAUUUUUAAUUAAAAUUUAAAUGAAGAAAUUCGCAAAUAUCCAUUUAAAGAGCAUAUAAACUUCAAAUGGCCAUAACUUGGCCAUUUGAACUCGGAAUUGGACCGUUCAAGUCUCUAAUUUUUCCUUAUGAAGCCAAGAACCCAUUUUUAUGCUUUGUUUCUGCUGUUAUAUGGAGUUUAUUAGAGUAAAAGCCUUUUCUUUUCCGUUGGUCGUGUAGACGCUGCAGCUUCGGAAGAUCCGCUCUUCGUGGAAGUUGAAGCCGACGUUUGGGAAAGCGAGCAAGGCAAGUCACAUCAUCUUUGAGCAUAUUGAAUCCCAGUUUAUAAAAUUAUGUUGAUUUAAAUUAUUGCAUUAUCGCUUUAUUUAAAUUCCCGCGUUAUCACUGUUUUAUUUAGCCAUGCCUAUUUACGUUUGUUAUGACCUUAUUAUUAUUGUUAUUGUUAUUAUUACCUUGUUCACCCUAGAAUAAACAAAACCUCAACUAGUGGACACUCUACUCAUGGCACCACUAGUUUAGUUUUAGGUAGAUGCUUCGCAAUUUAAUUAGGUAACAUUAGGUGGUUUUUCAACUAUAGACUUUGGGAAAUAUUCAUAUCAUCUGGAUACUAUGGAAUGGUUUGGUUAUUGUGGAAUUGGCUUCACACCGCUCCUUCUAUUCAAAAUCCCCAAAAUGGUUUUAGGCUGGGCUCGGGGUGCAUGGUUUUGAUAGUAGCACCUCGGCCAUAUAAGGACCGGUCUUCGGGCCUCUGUUGCAAAGCACUACCGUACUUCCACAUGUCUAGUGGGUAAGGCUUAGUUUGUGGCUCAGUCUGGUUAUAAACAAAAGUACACGGAUUGGAGAUGGAUGAAGUCGGGGGUCGAUGGACAUUCUCCAGGGCAAAUGAAGGCUACACGAGCUGCGGCCCGGUAGUCGAGAUGUCAUGGCACAGGGCCGGUGUCCUGCUGCUAGGGGCUCAGUCCUGCCUGCCUGUCCCGGGGGUUCCGGCCGUAGGUGGGAUUGGGUCGGUACUCUUGUCUAUGGCUAGGAUGGGUUGGAAACUAUGUCACGUCUUCCGUCUGUAUACCGUGGUGGUAUGUGGCACGUGGUUGCACGUGAGGAAGAUGUGUCAUGUGGGUAAAGAUGUACACCUCUGAUCAGAGUAUAAUCUAUUCGAAUAGCCGCGCCCUCGGUUAUGGGCAAGCCGAGCAAUGUACCCAAGUUAGCGUUUCAAUUCUUAAAACCUGCUUAACAACUAAAAUGUGGAAUGGUUGGCCUGGGUUGGCUUGGGACGAGCUGGGACCUAGGGUCGGGUUGCCAGUUCGGUCUGAAUCAUCAUAGGCCUUGGGUUAAGGCAGGUUCGUGUGGGUUCACGGCCUUGAUAAUUAAUAUUGUAUAGUUCGAGAAUCGUGUUUACAAAAUAGCUUUGAGCAACUAAACGUCUUUAAAUGCUGUUUACUGCAACCCUAACCCCUUUAUAGUAUAAUUCCUUUGUACUCCCUUGCAUUUAUUCUGCAUUUGUGGGUGUGUCUUGUUGAGUACGGUGGUUGUACUCAGUCUUGCUCAAUUUUUCCCAAGCCCACAAGAGGAGCUCCUUGAAGAUGAAGGCUUUGGUGUCUAGCUCGUGCCUGCCGUCAAGCGCCUGUGGUCGUCGCCCUAGUCUUCCGCUGUUUCUCGUUUGUCUCUGUGUGUGCUGGGCCUUCGCUGCCCAUGUAAUAAGUUAACUAUUUACGCUUCCGCUUGUUGAACUCUGAAUUGUAUCAACUUUUGGUGUACCUUGCCUCCUGGGACAAGGAUUAAUGCACGCACGUCAGGAACGCCCGUUGGGUUAUUUCCGGUCGUGACACCUGGACUCCCCAGCGACCCCCGUGGACUUCUCGCCACUUCUCAGUCUGGCGCACUAUAAUGAAUCACGCUAUACAAAAGAUAAAGCCGUUGCCCACGCUGGCUUGUGGCUGGCACGAUAAAUGUUUCACAACAGUAGCUCGCGAACCGGUCCUUAAUUGUCAUGAGCACAACCAUCAAAACCAUAUGCUCACAACCCACCUUAACCAGGUUUUAAUUAUCAAUUAAUUAACCUCACACG
rnacentral:lncRNA from 1 species